GCACCUACAAGGCAAACCUCAACACCCUCCUCUCUUCUCUCCCCUCAGACAACGCAUUCGACUACGGCUUUUAUAAUUUCUCCGCCGGCCAAAACUCUGAAAGAGUCAAUGCAAUUGGGCUUUGCAGAGUAGACCUUACACCAGACGCGUGCAGGAGUUGUCUCAACGACUCCAGUCUUCAACUCACUGAGCUCUGUUCCAAUCAGAAGGAGGCAAUAGGAUGGUACAAUAAUUGUAUGUUACAAUACUCGAAUCGCUCCAUAUUCAGCACCGAGGAAGAUUUGCCUGCUUUCUCUAUGCACAAUGUGAACAACGUUUCCAAUGGAGAUGAGUUCAAUCAAGUCCUGGGAACUUGUUCUCCAGCCUUAAAAGCAAAGCUGCUUCGGGUGAUUCGCUUUAAAAAAUUGCAACAGGAGAAGUGAAUGUGUCUGAGUUUUCAAAACAUAUAUGCCCUGGUUCAGUGCACCCCUGAUUUAUCCAAGUUGUCCUACAGCAACUGCAUAGAAGGGGCUGUUUGUUGGGGGAGAGAUAUAGAGUAUUAACCUGAAAAGGAUAAAAGAUUCCUCUACAAUGAUAAUAACCAAUGAACAAUAAUAACCAACUCUCAAGAAUAAUAACAACCUAACAAGAAUAAAAAAUGAUAAUCAAGAACAUUCAACCAAAAGAAAUACACCAAAUAUAACGUGGAAAAACCCUUUCGGUAAAAGUGAAAAAACCACAUUGAAAAUUUCUUCCACUUCAAUAAAUGGGGAUACAAUAAUUAAUUUCUCACUUGAGAUGGAUUCACUUCCCCAAAAGAUUGAUGAAAGAACCUGUAACUUCAUCUUGAGCCCUAAAACAUUGUCCAGAAAACAACCCCGAUCUUCUUCCUUUUCUCAAUCAAAUGCCUUUCCUUAACAAUACCAAAGCCCUAAUGCUAUUUAUAUAUAUAUAUAUAUAUAUAUAUAUAUUCAUAUUUGAGCUUAGGGAAUACCCAAAUAUAAAAUAGCCUAAUAUAUAGGCUCAUGGGCUAGACAAACAUAGCCCAACAAUCUCCCCCUCCAGCACAUGAGGGAGGAAUGCCAAUCUAUAAUUCCAUCACAUGGAUUUCAAACAUGUUGUCCCAAUGCACAAUUGAAACUUCUGCUUGGGAACAACCUUUGUCAACAUGUUUGAGGCAUUCUUGUUUAUGCAAAUGUUCUUCAACUUGGCUGCAUUUUCUUCAACUAUAUCUCUUAACCACUUGAACACCCAUUUGUUUUUCAAUGAUUUUCUUCCUUCAGGAAGUUGUACCAACUCAUAAAAGGGACUAGUGCAAUGCAGUGCAUCCCUGGUUUAUCCAAGUUGUCCUGCAGCAAUUGCAUAAAAGGGGCUAUUAAUGGUAUUUCGGGUUGUUGUGAUAGAAAGCAAGGAGGAAGAGUUGUGAAACCCAGUUGCAACAUUAAGUUCAAGUUUCUAUAACUUCACUGCAGCUAAUGCUCCUCCACCACCACCACCAAUAACGCCAUCGCCUUCUCUUCCCACUAAUGUCAGUACUCCUCCACCUCCAUCCAAUACCAUGUCUACAUAAGGUACAUAUAUUAGUUAGUUUGUCUCCAUGUUCUGAAUCUUAUUGAGUAUAUGAUUCACUAUUCAAAUUAACCAAAAUGAUUUACAAAGCAUAACAAAUUGUUAAAGCCAGAUGGUUAGCAUCCAAUGUAUAUUAUCGAGUUUGAGUGAAAGGCAACUAGUGGUACCAAAAAUAGGUACCUUCCCAUCAAGUACCCUUUAGAGAAAAGCACAUUUCCAAAGUAUCAUAUGCAAAGAGGUACCUUUGUAAAUCCACAUCUGAUGACUGGAAUGUUCAUACUGGCCAAGCUAACAAGGCUCGUGAUUCUUAACUUGGAUUCUAGCUAAAAAGUUGCAAUCACCACCAAAAUUGACCGAGGAAGUCAACGAACACCACCAUAUAAAAGGUAAUCCAAUUCAUUGUAAAGAUAAGAUAAAUCUAAUACAAAAAAUACGUUUCCAGCACUCGUUUGAUAAAAUUACUAAGACCCGCAAUUAAAUCAAUGCUUUUGUCUUUUUUCCUCGGCAUGAAGACAUCCAAGAAGUCAUGAUGACUAUGCAUGAAAAGAUGGAGACCCUUCAGUAUUGUUACUUGAAUACAAAUUAUAAAUCUCACCUAAAUUUUCAAAUCAACCAUUUGUAGAGGGGAAAAUGGUAAGGUCUGAAAAAGUGAAUCUCAAUAAUGGACUACACCUAGAGGGGGGUUGAAUAGGUGUUGUAGAACAAUUUAAAAAAUCUCCCAACAAAGAUUACCUAACAUUAGACUUUCUCAAUGUCAAGAAUUUUCUCUUCCAACAACUACUCAACAAAGCAUAAAAUCCACAAGUAAGAAUGUGUGGAACAACACUCUCCCAAUAAUUUAUAAAUGCAAACCACAUGCAACUGCUUCAACAAUCCUAAAAAAUAAAUCAAAAGAACAAUUAUCUCUUCAACUCACAUAAAUUCACUUCAUGAUAUCAUUAACCAAAAUGAGCAGAAAAAUUAUUAAGGAUAUUCCAUGGAUCAUCACACUUAUAUCAUCUCAUAUUUCUUCUAUUCAACAUCUAUACCCAAGUAAUCAAUGAUAUCAAAAAAAAAAAUUAAAUCAAAGUGUAGAGUAAGAGAAAGAGACAAUUAACACCGGAUUUUAACGUGGAAACCUCCGAAGAGAUCAAAAACCACAGGCCUACCACCGAUUGAAAAACUCCACUAUGAAGAAUAAAAACUGAGUACAAGGUUUUACCUAGCUCAAGCCAACCAAUCCUUCUCGGACCACUUGACUAGUACCUUCACUUUCAGCUUCUCACCUUCAUUUUUCUGAGCACACUUGGAGUCCGCACCAAGUUCAAUCUUAGCCUCUUCUUGAAUCCAUACAAGAAGAAAAUGAGUUUUGCACAAACCCAAAUAGAAUGAGAGAUUGAGAUAUGAAUGAAGGAAUGAAUCAACCUAUUUAUUGCUUAAGAAAAUCCAUUAAAAACUAGUUUGGAAAACAUUAAGAGAAGUGGAUUUUCUUUGCAAUCAAAAACCCCAAAUUAGGAAAACAAGAUGAGAAAAUGAAAAACACAUGGAGUGGUUCCUCUCUCCACGUUUUCUACAGUCACUCUCCAGAAAAAUGAGAGAAUAUUGAUUUUUUAAAGUGUAAAAAGAAGCCCUCAAUCUAAUGGCUGAGAUUUGAUCUAAAAAAAUUAGUUGGAUCGAUCCAUCCUUGCACCUGGAUCGAUCCAGAAACAGGGGAAUAAAAGUCUUGCACCAAAAACCAUUUCUCUCAACUUUUUAACACAUUUAAAGAUUAAAAAUCGGGUUGAUUCACAUUCAAUCACUACACACUUGGCUACUGAUUACUACUCAAAAAGUGCAUUUUUAUAAACUUAAACUUAAUUGUACUAAGCACUUUUGAGUAGUAGUUAGACCUUUUUAUCCCAAUUGGCAUGUUAAGGACCUAACAAAUGUUACUAACCAAUUUCUGGUAAGUUUUAGUGUUUUUGGUAGCUUUUUUAUCACUGAAACAGGCCAAGAUUGAGGGAGAGUUUUGUGCAAGUUAUGGCAAGGCAAGUUGAAGAUCAAUCACAUGAAGAAUCCAAGCUUUGGAGCACUUCAAAACCCUUUGCCAAAAUUGGAAAGGGGUUGACAAAGCUAUUAGUAGUAAGAUGGAGGAAAACAGAGCAUUUCGCAAGGCAAAAUCAUCAAUUUCGCAAGGUGUGCCAAAAUUUGGCAAGGUGUGCUAAAAUUUGGUAGGGUGUGCCAAAUUUUGGCAGGGUGUGCGAAUAUCACUUUGUGCGCAUCGGCCUUAGGAAAAAAUCUCCAAAAUUGUAAUUUUUCCUUUUUACUCAUUUUGUAAUAGAUAAAUGACAUUAGGGUUUGUUUAGGAACUACAAAUAAGGGUUGGAAAACCUCUCAAAUGAUAUUAUGUUAUGUUUUAGAUAUUUUGUAAAGGCUAGUUUUGAAGGAAAUAUACGAGAGUUUUUCUCUACCUUUCCUUCUCAUUUUCUCAUCACUUUUUCUAUAGCUAAACACCCUUUGAAAAUGAUUUCUUAGAUGAUGAAUGGCUAAGUUUCACGUUUCUUGGAGUGAUGGAAGCUAGGUAAAGGACUCAGAUGCAAAGGUGGGAGUUUUCCUUGCUUUAAAUGAAGGUAGUUGUGUAUCAUUAAUGGUUUGUAUUUCAAGUUUCAACUUUAAUCCCUUAGAAUCACUUUGAAUGGCCAAUACUUGGUAAGCUUUUAGGAUUCUAUGGAUGCUUAUUGCUAGAUCCAUGGAUGUCCAUUAGUUAUCAAGUACGAGCCACUGGAAAGUGGUUCAAGGUGAGGGUCUUUACUGUUUGAAGCCAUUAAUGGGAAACAACUACCAUUUUUCAAGAACCCUUUGGAUCAAAACUUAUUUGCUAAAUAAAAAUCCAGUUCGGGAGAUAACCAUCCUUUAUGUUAUUGUCCCCAAUGCGAGGAGAAGAUCCGAAAUUUCCCACUUUGCAACAAGAUCAUGAUCCUAGUAACUUAUAGCUCUAAGAGACUUUCUCUUUAUAGUAAUUUCAGUUGUUUAUGUUUGCUUGACUUAAAAUCAACCAUUCCAAUCAAUCUUAUUUUCAUUAAAAAUUAACUUUCGAAAAAGGAAAUCACCAUUUCUCAUUUCAUUAAUGUCAUGUGUACAAAGAAAACCCAUCCCUGUGGACGAUCCUAGAGCCACUAUACUAUAGUAGCUUUGUCUUUGCUGCCCUAGUAUAAGGUGUUGUAGGUUUUAUAAAUGGUUUGAUAAACACCCGACUGGGCAUGAAUCAGCUACAUAUCUUGGCCUCUUAGCAAAAUCUUAGCCUUCAAAGUCUAGUUGUCCGAAGAGGAAUAGGAAGCCGAGUUAGGGGAUACUUAGGAAUUUUGUCUGGAAUUGUCAACCUAGCUAAACACUCACAGGGUCCUUUUGUGAAAAAGAAAAGAAAAGUAAUAUGUUGUAUUCUUUACUAUUCGGCCCGCUUAGAUAAAAUUAAGAAUUCAACAAUUAAUGGAGGGAUCUCUAAUUAUGUGGGUUCUGUAGGAAAGAACAGCAAGACCUCCCAGAUUGUGGUCCUAAUAGUUGUCCCCUCAGCUGUUAUUUCUAUAAUGCUCAUCAUCUUCAUUUGUUGCUUUUUUAAAAGGAGGCGACCAAGGGAAAGUGUUGGAAGUUAAACAUGGAUUAUCUUUUGUUGACUUUGCUUCUUGCAAUUGAAAUCAUCAUCAUCUUGGAAAAUGACUUAUAUAUUGGUUUUUAAAGUCCACCUCUGGAUUAAAUUGAAGUAACCCAAAAGCAAAUGCUAAAAAUCUUCACAAAUUCUUCGAAGUAUGUAUAGUAGAUUUCCUUUCCCACUUUCGAAUGGGAAUGGGGCUCAAAAAGUCAUUUCAGCUAUCCUUACGCGCCCUUUUCAUCUUUCAUUGAUAUUUUUUUUACGUGUAAUUUCUAUAAUAAAAUUAUAUUAAAGAACUUGUUUUUAAAUUUUAUUUUUUUCAGUGAAAACGCUUAGCUCCUUACACAUUAUAUUAUGUUUUUUUUUUAAUCUAUUGUUAAAGUUUUUAAUUAUUUCACAAAAAUAUCUUAAAUAUAUUCUUAAAACCAUUCCAUCCUUGGUUGUUGCAUGAUAUUUUGUUGGUGUACAUGAUAUUUUAAUUGAAAACAUUCCUUCUAAUAUGUUAAUAACAUGAGAGCACAUACACAUAGAACAAAAAUUCCAUUCUAUUUCAAAUUGGGCUUGUUGAGGUUGUAAUAAUUAGAUAUGCAUGCAUGUGUAAUUAAUUGAGCACAUAUUCAAUAAAAGCUACCUCACUUUAAUUUGAUGGUUUUAUUUCCUCCCUUUUGUGAAUUAAGCAAGAUGAUGAUGAAAUUAUAAAUAUAGAAUCCUUGCAAUUUGACUUUGCCACUAGUAGAGUUGCAACAAAUAACUUCUCUGAUGCUAAUAAGCUUGGACAAGGUAGAUUUGGCCCCAUUUACAAGGUAAUUAAUUUGGUCAAUCAAUCAAAUGUGAUCAAUUUUCUUAUUUGUUGAAUGUAGCUUGAAUUAUUUUGUAUUUAUCCCUAUACAUAUUUUCAUUAGGGUCAGCUUUCCAAUGGACAAGAAAUCGGGUCAGCUUUCCAAUGGGCAAGAAAUUGUUGUGAAAAGUUUGUCAAGUGGCUCGGGACAAGGAGAACUAGAAUUCAAGAAUGAGGUGAUAUUAUUAGCCAAGCUUCAACACAGAAAUUUGGUUAGGCUUCUGGGUUUCUGUUUGGAAGGAACAUAAAGACUUCUUAUCUAUGAGUUUGUGCCUAAGGCUAGUCUUGACAACUUCAUCUUUGGUAAUAAUGCCUCUUUAACUUUAUCUAGAUUAUAAUUUAUAAAACUUCAGUGGCAUGCAUUCCUAGGUGGGUUAGGCGAACUUUGAUGUUAUAUAAUAAACUGAAGCAUCCUAUAUUUAAGUCAUUUGGUGAUGCAUAAACCUGAACCUUUCUAGUUAUUUUUCUUUUGCUAGUUUAUUACCUAUUCAUCCCAUAACAUUGUGAUAUAUGUUCUACUUGUAUUAAUAAUAUAGAUCCACUCAAAUGUGCACAAUUAGAUUGGGACAAGCGCUACAAAAUCAUAGUAGGCAUUGCUCGAGGACUUCUUUAUCUUCAUGAAUGUACUUAUUCCUUACAUUUUCAAUUUCUAGUUGUCUUUGAUUAUUUGGGCAUCUAAUACUUGGUUGAAUGUUGAAGUAAAAUAGAUAUGAGUUGUCUUUGGAUAAUUUGAAUGUUGUUUCUGAUUAUUGUUCAUAUGUAUAUUUGAGAUAUUAUACUCUUGAUUUUAAUUAGAAAUUGAUUUAAGAAAUUGUGUUGAAAUGUGUUGGAACAUGUGCAUGUGACUUGUAUUUUAAUCUUGUUUGGAAGUAUUGCUGCAUUUAUGGUUGCAUGUGAUCAAUAGUUUGUUUUAGGACUCAACUAAAGAGUAAAGAUUUCAAUGGAUUAGACCUAGGUUUGAUAAGUUACGUAGUUGGUUUUUAUAAAUUUGGAGAAAAACACCUAUUCACCCCCUUUAGGUGUGUUCCAUCUUUGAUAUUCACCUUCACUAUUCUUUUAAGUAAAUCAAAAUUUUGGCUAUGAUAUUACAAUAUUGCUUUAAUAUUUGGUUGCAUAAUGUCCCAAAUUUUAGGGUUUAUAAAAUUUGAAUUCAUAUUUUUCAUAACUUUUUAUCUCUCUACUCUAUCCUACCUUUACUUUUGUAGAAAUAUAAUAUUUUGAAUGAACUAUAAUCAUCCCUCCCUCUUUCUUUGAUUAUAACUAUAAUUUGUAUAUGGAAUAUUAAGGUUAUUUUUUACUUAAAAAAAAAAAAAAACACGUUGACUAUCAAUCUUUUCCAAAAUAGGUUUGUAAGAAUUAUUCUCAAAAUAAGGUGUUUUGAAAAAUAUAUUUUUACUUGUUAAUCUUCAUUUAUUUCCUAGAAGCUAUUUUUUUUUAAAAAUAAUUAUACAAAUAUGAAAAAUAAUUAAAAAUAAAAUACUAUAUAUAAAAGUUAUUUUAAAACUCAUUUAGAAAUAUGUUAAGAACAUUCAAAGCUCUAAAACAAGUUUUUGUUUUAUAAAAUAUCAAAGAUACAUUAAGAACAUUCAAAGCCCUUAGACCAAUUUUUGUUUUAUAAAAAUAUCAAAAAACUAUUUAAAUAAAUUUUUCCUUUUUAUAAUUGUUUUCAAAACGUUCUCAAACAAACAUUAAAAUUCUUUUUUCCUGAUCUAAGCAAGAUAAAAAUCUUGGACAAGGGACAACUCGAUUAUUUUUGCAUGUUUUUUAGAUUUAUUUGAGUAUUAUGUUUUUCAUGUCUUCAAUUUAUUUCACAAGAAUUUAAAUUACGUGAAUAAUGUAAUACCUAACUAGGCUUAAUUGCCCAUCAAAUUUCCUGCCCGAAUUUAGCCUUAGACUUUAUUUCGAAAAAGAAAAAGAGUAAAGAGAAGGCGUCAAACUCUAGAAUUGCCCACCAAAUUUCCUUCCAGACUUUUGCCACUCAUGUCCUAAUCAACUUAUUCAAUGGCAUAUUUGAUUUUGAACAACUUCAAUCUAUUUUGUUGAAUCAUCCCAUCUAUUAAAUAUGAGGUCCCGAGUUUCUAUCAACCUCCGCCUGAUGCACCAUCACCAUCUUGAUUCGUGCCCACUUGGUGUAUCAGUUGAUUCAUGUCCAGCUGGUGCUCCUUGAUUGAGGAAGUAAUCAACAAAAUUUAUAACCUAUUACACCAUGAACUAGGGUAGCAAAGACAAAGCUACUAAAGCAUAGUGGCUCUAGGAUCGUUCACUGGGAUGGGUUUUCACUUCACAAAUGAUAUUAAUUCGAAGUUAAAUUGGUGUCUUUUCAUUUCAAGGUUAGCUUUAAAAGAAAACAUAAAGAUGUUUGAAUGAAAAAGGUUUGGUUUUAAACUAACCAAAAAUAGUAACUGAUUUUACUUACAAAGAAAAAUGUUUCUUGGAGUUUCAGAUCACUAGGCUCAGAUUCCUCAUACAAAAAGGGAGUUCCGGUCACUUGUUUCUUUUCCUCGCAUUAGAGAAUUAACAUAUAGUUAAUUCUCUAACCGGUGUUGUACAGAUGCUUCCCAUUAAUGGGUUCAAACACUAAAUCCCUCUCACUGAUGCAUCUUGCAAUGGCUCAUGCCUCUCACCUAGCAUUUGCCAUUCAAGGUGAUCUUUAACCUUGGAUUACCCGUCAAAAGCUCGCAAGAGAUAACUAAUGGAUGUCUCCUUGGAGUCCAAAAGCUUACCAAGUGUUGGCUAUUCUAGAAAAUCCUACCUUCAAACCACCUCCCAAAGGCUCGCAAGAGAUAAACUAGUGAAUCUCCAUGGAUGGAGAUCACUUGCUUUACCAAGUGUUGACCCAAGUGACUUCAAGGUGUUUUAAGUUAACUAAAAAGAUAAAAACCAUUAACGGGUCACACUUUCUCUUCAUUAAAAACUAAAACAACAAAACUUUCAAAUUAUGCAUGUGGAAACUUACCCGGCUUUCCUCACUCCAAGAGACGAAAAGCCUAGCCUCUCAUCCUCUGAGGAAAAAUCCUCAGAGUUUGAUUGGCUAGAAAGAAAAAUAACGAGAAAACAAAAAUAUAUAUAUGAAAAGCAGAGCAAGUGCUCUGUAAAAUAUAUUCCUUACUAUUACAAAAGGUUCUCGUCCUCCUCGUCCUCUUUUUGAGAAUAGGCUCCCGAGAGUUAUAUAUAAAGAAAAUUACAAAACAAAAUAUCUGAGGUUAUUCAUCCCUUUUCCAAACUUAAUAACUAAGGAAUCCUAUAAUUGGUGGGUUACAAGGAGAAAAUGGGGAUUUAGACAUAAAAAAUCUGAAGCAAAAUAUCCAAAAGUGUCGGUCGCAAAUAUCGGGAAACUUCAAGAGAAAUUCCACAGCACUGUGCAAAAUGGCUGCGAAAUCAUUUCGCAGCAAAAGAGUGAUUUCGCAACCGUGCAAAUUUCUACCUUCAGCUUGGAGUGAUCGGCUUCCAAUGGCUGUAACUCCUUCAUUUCAAUUCCGAAUCAUGCACCAUUUAAAGCAUUGGAUUGUUGACUUCUUGAGCUUCGAAACGACAUAUAGCAUGUAUAAAUUGGACUCCAGAAAGUGCUCCAAAAGUGGCUGACAUGACUGUAAUAAAAAAUGCUUCAUGGCAGAUUUCUCUUUGCUUCCCCUCCUUGCAUUCCGGAUUUGCUUAUGGCAAAGGACUUCAAAGCUUCGGUUCUUCGUGCUUCUGAGCUUUCCAUUGCUUUUCCAUGGAUUCCAAAUAACUCUCCUCAAUCUCAUAUUGCUUUGGUGAUCAAAAAGCUAUCAAAACACCAAAACUUAACACAAAUUGAUUAGAAGUGCUUGCAAAGGUCCUUAAUAUGUUAAUUAGGUUAAAAGGCAAUAACUACUACUCAAAAGUGUUUAAAAGAGUUAAUUACAAGCUAUGAAAUAGCACUUUUUGAGUAGUAAUCACAUCUCCAUCUCCAUCCCCUACAGUUAAUCUUCCUCAUCCUCCACCAUCCAUUGGCACAACUGGAAACGGUAUGAACUCAACCUCCAUGCUCUAAAAUUUUGAAGUUUUCACAUAGUUCUUGAUCCUCCUUCAAAAUGCUCUACUCUUCACAAUCUUCAAACAAUAUUAGAUUAAGAAAAAAAAUGAGAUUUGACUGAAUCGGAUUGGAGACAAAAAUAUGCUUCGAAACAAAAUAGUCACGGAGGCAAAUUUCAAUGAUGCCAACUCUCAUGAAGCAAUUCCAAAGUUUAAUGUUCGGCUAAUUGAAUCAGAGCACAUUUCUGGUUUUUGCAGGAAAGGAUAAUACAAGGAGAACUGCCAUCAUCAUUGUUAUCCCAACAGUAAUUUCGGUGAUGCUUAUCAUCUGCAUCUGCAUCUUAUUAACAAAGCAAAAACAGAGGGAGAAGUUUGAAAGUAAGUUACUUUCCAUUUUUUGCCAUGAAAUUAAAUGAAGAAAAACUAGUCAAGGCAAGAACCUAUGCUUUUUCUUUUAGUAUACUACUCAAUACAUAGGAUAGAUAAGGGGCAAUUAAGUCGUGUCUAUCUCAUGGCAUACAUAUUCUGAAAUCAUGUGGCUGACAAAUUACAAUGAUGUGCUACCUUGUGUGACAGCAUGGACAAGAUCAUUUUCCCCUAAUAAUUAUUUUAAUUGAAAUAAAUUUAAAAAUAUUAGCUAUUUUCAUAACUAAAGCUUAAACAUUGCCUUAUACAACCACCCAUUCUAAGCAGCCCAUUCCCUGGAGAAAAAUUGUAUAUGUACCUGGCUGUAUCGGGGUGGGCAAUUAGCGCUGUUCUAUUCCACUGCCCCUCGCCCAAGGAGCAUAAACAUAUUUACUAUGUCAGCAGAGCGUUGGUGGACGUAGAAACAAGGUAUUCAAAGACGGAGCUAACGGCCUUAGCUCUUCGAAGUGCCGCCCAGAAGCUCCGCCCUUACUUCCAAGCCCACCCAGUGGUCGUGCUAACUGACCAGCCCCUUCGCAACAUCCUGCAUAAGCCGGACAUAACCGGAAGAAUGCUUCAAUGGGCCAUAGAGUUGAGCGAAUAUGGAAUCAAGUUCCAACCCAGGUUGUCCAUGAAAGGCCAAGUGAUGGCUGACUUCGUGCUAGAAUACUCCCGAAGGCCUAUCUAGCGCGAGGAACCAAGUGAAAAAGAGUGGUGGACUUUGCGAGUUGAUGGAGCCUCUCGGUCAUCAGGAUCCGGAGUAGGGCUCCUGCUGCAAUCCCCAACAGGAGAACAUCUGGAGCAAGCCAUUCGGUUGGGGUUCCCCGCGUUUAACAAUGAAGCUGAGUAUGAGGCCAUCCUAUCCAGAUUAGACCUCGCCCUGGCUCUAUCCGUUUCCAGGCUCCGGGUCUAUAGUGAUUCCCAACUCGUGGUAAGGCACGUCUAGAAAGAAUACGAAGCUAAGGAUGAGCACAUGGCGCAAUAUCUGACUAAAGUAAGGGACACCUUACAACGGUUCACCGAAUGGACGAUCGAAAAAAUUAAACGGACUGAGAAUGGACAUGCCGACGCCCUGGCAAGCAUAGCUGCUUUCCUCCCCAUCAAAGAAGCCAUAUUAUUGCCUAUACAUGUGCAAACCAACCCUUCCAUCGCGAAAGCCCCUACUUGCAAUACCAUUGAGGCAAACCAAACAGAAGGCCAAGAAUGGGCGGAAGACAUAAUAAGGUAUCUCCGGACAGGUACUCUACCCGAAGAACCCAAGCAGGCGCACAAGACCCAAGUACAAGCUGCCCGUUUCAUCUUGAUCGGGGGGCACUUGUACAAACGGUUCUUUACAGGUCCCUAUCUCAGGUGCCUAAACCACUCAGAGACCCUGUAUGUAUUAGCUGAGUUGCAUGAGGGGAUAUGUGGGAACCAUUCCGGAGGUCGAUCUCUAGCGCACAAAGCCCAUUCGCAAGGGUAUUACUGGCCCACGAUGAAAAAGGAUGCGGCAGCCUAUGUAAAAAAAUGUGACAAGUGUCAAAGGCAUGCCCCCAUACCGCAUGUGCCGUUCGAGACGUUAAAACCAAUUUUAGGCCCCUGACCCUUCGCACAGUGGGGCAUGGACAUAGUAGGACCCCUACCAGUCGUAGCUGCCCAGAAAAAUUCCUGCUCGUCGCCACGGAUUAUUUCAGUAAAUGGGUGGAAGCUGAAGCAUACGCUAGCAUCAAAGACAAAGAUGUCACCAAGGUCGUAUGGAAGAACAUCAUCUGCCGCUUUGGAAUCCCCCAAACCAUUAUAGCUGACAACGGUCCACAGUUUGAUAGCAUCACUUUUCGGAAUUUCUAUUCGAAACUAAACAUACGGAAUUCAUACUCCACACCGCGUUAUCCUCAAAGCAAUGGGCAAGUAGAGACCACAAACAAGACCCUAAUAACUGCCUUAAAGAAGAGGCUCGAGCAAGCCAAAGGGAAGUGGGUGGAUGAGCUACCCAGCGUCCUGUGGGCUUAUCGAACCACACCCGGACGUCCGACAGGAAACACUCCAUUCGCCCUCGCAUACGGAAUGGACGUAGUCAUUCCUACAGAAAUAGGGCUACCCACUAUUCGGACCGAGGCAAGAAGGCAGGAUGAUGCAAAUGCGGAGUUAGGAAGAAAUUUGGACUGGUCGGACGAAGUAAGAGAGACCGCAUCCAUCCGGAUGGCGGACUAUCAGCAAAGAGAAGCCGCUCACUACAAUCGCAAGGCAAGGCCUAGGAGUUUCAAAAGUGGAACGCUGGUCCUUAGGAAGGUUUUUGAAAAUACUGCUGAGACAGGAGCAGGAAAGUUUCAAGCCAAUUGAGAAGGCCCCUAUAUAGUGUCCAAGACAAGUGAAAGUGGAGCCUAUCAUCUACAGAAGCUAGACGGAACCUCAUUGCUCCGACCAUGGAAUGUAUCUGUGGACCCACAUUUUUCACGUGCGUCCCCACUCGAUCGGUGAGACUCGCUUUUUAUUUGUGAAAAAUUAUUUAGUUUUGGAAAAAAAGUUGGAGUCGCCACUUAUUUUAUUUUUAUUUUAAAGGGAAAAUAAAACAAGAAAUAAAACCCUAAAAAAUGACUCCAUAAUUUUUGGAAAAGCAUGUCUUUGAAAAACCCGAGUCUAAGUCCGGGGAUCAGGUUACUUAUUAGGAAGGUACCUUUAAAAGGUAGCACCCCUCUAAGCCCUAUAAAGGUCUCUAUUAACUAAGUUAAGGGGAAUAUGGCAAUUAAUCGGUUAAUUAUGGAUACCUAAAUAAGCUAGGUGCUUUUAAAGAGUGGCAUGCGAAACACAAUCAAAUUGCAAUAAAGGAGAGUUAGGGUGCGUACCUGAACCGCUCUUCAAGCGCUAUCAUAAAACAUAAAAGUUAGUGUAGAAAUGUAGCACUCAACAUUUGUUUUAUUCAAGCGAAUCAUGCAUAUAUCAAGACGUCCAAGAAUCACGUCAAAUAUGGAUAUGGUCAUCAAUGGCAUACAAGUCCAUAGAGUUCUAAAAAAGAAUAGAUGAGAAGAGAGCGUACCUGGAUAGCAAGCUAGUACUCCUCUAUGGGAAUCAAGAGCAUCUCAACAGUAAAUACGAAACAAAUUCAUGUAUAUCAUCAAGAAGAAUAAAAAAUCAACAUAUCAAGCAAAUAAUAUUGAAGAAGGUAUCAUGAAUGUCGGGCCCCCACCAAAGCCCUAAUUGAUUUCGCAUGAGUUGAUUCCAUAAAUUCCAUUAUUUGGAAUCAUGAAAUUUGUUCAUGCUUGAAAAAAUUGAGAAAAAUCAAGAAAAUCGGUUGAAAAUCAAAUAAAAUAGUGAAAAUGCAUACCGGAAGGAAAAUGGCAGCAAGAGUAUGUUUGAAUAUGGAUUUCAUACCUAGAAAUGAUCUAAGACGAAUUUUUCAAAGCCUGGAAUGUUUAGUUGAACAAUGGUUCAAAAAUUCAAUUUAAAACAAUAAAUUCCUAAUCAAAUAAGCGAAUAGAGGAGAAGGUGUGUGUAGCAAGGUUGCCAUGAUGGAGUGAAGUUCAGGAAUUCGGGAUAGAAAGACCCAAUUCGUUGCCAAAGUAUUCAGCAAUCAGAAGCAUUUCCAUUUAUAAGAUAACUUGGUUCGUAAGCUUAGAUGGAUCCUCCCCGACAUUGGACAAAUACUGAACAUAAAGCUCAAAAUUCUUACUUUUCUAUAUUAUUAUAUUUCCUGCAUUCUGUGCUAUUUUCUCAUCAUCAAGGCUUGAUUCAUCAAUUCCUCUAGAAUACAUACCCUUGUUGUUGCCUUUUUCUGCCUUUCCAAUAUUUUUAGCUUGCUGCAUCCUUAUGAAUUUUCCUUAUUUCUGGAAUCUCCAUAUCUGACUUCUCAGGACCAUUUUCUUGAACAUAUAAGCUCCUCGUUGCUUUUGUAGAGCGAACACAAGCUGCCACUAAAAUUGGUUAGCCCGGAUUGCUAAUUUGUGCAUCCAAUCACCAUCGAUUUUUCUUGUCCUUUUUGGAACUUCUGGAAUAUGGAUGAAACCUAUGAAGAAUGUGGUGGAAUUGCGGUCUGCAAGCACAAAGUUUCUAGUUACUUGAAAUGCUUCAAAAUCAUGGUUCCAGUUUACAUCUACAGGCAUUGACUCAAGUAAGUUCAUAUUAGCUUGGGUGGCUUUUGAUUCCAAAAGCUCUAACAACAACAUGAUUCUUAAAUAUCCGAACAACAAUGUCCAAAAUUGAAUCAAGAAAUUCUUUAGCAGCAGUCUGUGCUGUCCCUGCUGGAGCCAUCGCAGGAGAAACUAAGCUAACUGCCAACAAGGUUCUAGCCAGUGAGAUCCCAUUCUGACGUUUCGAUUUUGGUGACUGAUAGCUUUCUAAUUGUCCCUGCAAAUAAUGUAAACCAGUAGUUGCAUCGAACGAAUUAUCAUUCAAAGUGAGGAUCUGAAUACUUGUAAGGCCAUCAAAGAAACCAGUGGGGAUGAUGUCAACUUCGUUGUAAUCCAAGAAGGCGAAUUGCAAUUCAGACAAUUUGCGAGAAGAAGGCAAUUUUCCAUUGAAGUGGUUCAUCUGAAACCCCGAAUUGCAGAGCUGGUUGAAGUUCCGAGGGAGAGGUCCCUUUAAUCUCGAUCCCUUAACUUGAAUCUGUGUAACUCUGUCACCACUACAAAAUACACGAGGCCACAAAUUUGACUCCACCCGUUAGCUCCUUUCCUUCAUUCAUUCGCUUUAACAAGUCACAUUUAAUUUUGAAGAAUAUUAUAUAAUCUUCAAGUAUGUUCAAAUCAGAGGGUUCUAGUCUGUUAACCUUUACACUCUCUAGCAGGUUCUGUUCUUGUCUAUUCCUAUUAUACAGAAGUUCGAGCAAGUUUUAUAAAGCCUGAAUUUCUACACGUAGCCACUGCUGGGGUCAGGUUUAUCCAAGUAUGCUGCUCCAACAGAAUUACCGAUGUGUCAGUUUCUCUAAAAAUCACCUUGUGAAUCAAUCCACAAUACCGAGGCAUCCCAUCAUCAGAACUUCCUAAGUUUUCAGCAAGUAGGCAAGCAUUUAUGCUUGAGUCAACUCUACCGAUGACAAAAAAACCCAUCCAAAUCAAACUUCAUAGCUGUUUCUUCUUUUCCAUUAAUCUCAACUGGUAUCCUUUCUGAAAGAAUCCUUUUCUUAUGACGACCUAACAGUAAAACCCUUUUGAGAGAAUGGCUCAGAAUUUUGAUCAUCAUCUGAUUCUAUUGUAUUACCGGAAUGAUUGCUUUGGUAAAUGGAGUUCAACAGAAACCACACAUUCAUGACUCUAAAAUUCAGCUUACUAGUAACCAGAUGAAACACACCAUUUUCUGGUUCAAGCAUUUGUUUCUGGUCAGAUUCUAGCGCCUAUCUUGAAACUCCAUUAUUCCAAGACCAAAUUCAUAGCCCGACAUAGCCUUUCCUAAGAAGUUGGAGAAAUUGUUUCUCUAGUCGAAAAGCUUUCAAGACCGUGUUGAGGCUCUGAAUGUUGAUAGUUUUCCAUUACAAUUGACGUGAGUUCCUGAUAACCCGACUCUUGGUAGCUUGGCAUGUAAGGGUAUCAACAAAAUUUAUACCUAAGGUCCUUACACUAAAGUAGCAAAGUUACUAUAGCAUAGUGGCUCUAAGAUCGAACACUGGGAAGGGUUUUUACUUUAACUGGUGAAGUUCGGAGGAUGGAGUGAACUUUUCUUAAUAAAAAUUAGGUUAAGAUGAAAACAUAAAAAGAUGAAGGUGUUGUAAACUAAACUAACAUGAAAAUAGGUUAAAAGAUGGAAAAAGAAGUUUCUCAAAGCUUUGGAUAGCCAUGCUUAACUCACUGUGCAAAAAUGGAGAUUUUGGGACUUUUCACCUCAAGUUGGGGAAGCAACUAAGGUGAUGCUUACUUCCCGAACCGGUAUGAGUUUAACAAUUGAGUUUUAGUCCUUGAAAACUUACAAAAAGGGUAGCUGAACCUCAUAAAUGCUCUUUUAUUGAUAUAGGUCAUCUCCUCAACUUGCAAUACAAUGGCUCGUAGGAGAUAACUAAUGAACGUCAGUGGAUCUAACAAUAAGAAUCCACUGAGACCAAAAGGUUAUCAAGUAUUGGCCAUUCAAAGCAAGUCAGAGGGAUUAAAAGCUUUACUUUGAAUGAAAACAUUUAUGACGCUCAGCUACUUACAUUUAUGGCUUGGAAAUCUCCAUCCUGACACGGGAGCUUCACAUGGCAUCCAUUACUUCAAGAAACUAAAAGGUUUUAGCCUCUCAUCCUUGGGGAUUUCAUCCUCCAAGGAUGUUUGGAUACUAAGAAAAUGAGAAAGAAAAGAGAAAAGAAGCGUAUGAACAAAAGUGCUCUUAUAACUUAUAAAGUUACAGGUUACAAGAUUUUUUUGUCUGAGGCUCUUCACCUCUAUUUAAAGACAAUAACAAGCUAAAUUACAAGAGCUAUUACAAAAGCAACCUAUUCAUUGGUUGAUUACAAGGGUAAAAUAGGUAUUUACAAAGCUAAAAAUCAAGCAAAAUAUCUUGGAGAACCGGCAGUGGAAUGGAAAGAUGAAGGGUCCAAAUUUCGCAAGGUGAAAAGCCACCUUGCGAAAUUUCGCAAGGUGGUUCUUCAUGGUGCGAAGUGGCCAAAUUUCGCACCAUGAAGAAAAUCUCCUUGUGAAAUUUUCGCAAGGGGAAAUUCACCUUGCGAAAUGGUCAAAUUUCGCACCAUGAAGAAAAUCUCCUUGCGAAAUGGUGUUCCCAUGGCUUGAUGCAGUUGUCUUCCGAAGGCCAUAUCUUCCUCAUUUCAGCUCUAAAUUGUACACGGUUUGAAGCGUUGGAUUCUUGACUUCCUGAGCUUUGAAAUGGUAUAUAGCAUGUAGAAAAUGGACUUAGGGAAGUGCUCCAAAAGUUUGAAAGAAGACUGCAGCUGCUGUCCUCUGUUUUCUUCACUCUGUUUUCCUCUUUUCCAUUGUUCUUUCCUUGCAAAAUGGUGUUCCCAUGGCUUGUGCUCGUGUUUCCACUUGAAAUUCAAGCCUGUAAAUGUCCAAAAACCUUGCUUAACUCGCCCAAGUAGCUCCUCCAUCAAUUGGCAUGCUUGAAUUGGUUCAUAAGCUGAUGAAAAACAUGUAAACUUGCCACAAAAUGGUUAAAACCAAUUACUAAGGACCUUAAUGAAUUAAUUGGGUUAAAUGAAUAUGAUUACUACUCAAAGGUGCUUAAAACCAUUAUAAUUAGGUCUACAAAAUAGCACUUUUUGGUAGUAAUCAGUUCCUCAUUAGCAGUGUCAUAAGAGUGACUUCAUGAGAAGUUUCUUGCUGUAUCAGAAUCAGCAGCAUUAGGGGCUGCUUCAUCUCUUUUGCAGGCAAACAUUCAUCUUCAGGAAUCAAACAGCUGGGGAACAUCAUCAUAAACUAACUCAUUGACAAGAAGUGGACUUCCUGACACAUCAGGUAAGUAGAUCUUAGAUUUCUGUUCAUGAAACUGAUCUCCAGCCAGAUGUUGCACCUAAAAAGCAAGGUCCAUUGUCAAAAGCUCCACCAUCAGAACAUCCAUCUCCAUUAAAAUACGCAGAAACAACUGGAAACUAUCCACGUUUAAGAUCCAUCUUGCAUGCACUCUCUAGAUAGAGCAAUUAUGGUUUGGCGGAUCUUAUUCUAUAUAAUCCAUUAGGGUUAUCAACCCAGCAACUGCACCUGAAUUUGCAAUUAUAAGAUUUAUUCCCCGACUUCCAUUACAAACAAGACUAAUCAGCCUAGGCAACAAAGGAUCUGUCAAUCACUUCAUCAGAUUUCAUUAAAAGUGCAAGUGAAGGUAUGAUACGCACGGUCUUCAAGGUUACAAGGAACCUAACAACAAUAGAAAUUGCUCUAACAAUCUUUUCAAACCCGUCAAUUCGAUCCAAUGCAUUCUCUACCUAACUUUGAACUCAAUGAGUGUUCUUGGACCCAACUAGAAGGUCAUGAUCAUCCAUGUGAGUAGAUUGCAGGGUGUGUGCUAUGUUAACAAAUACCAGAAAGCUCCUCUGAUAAUUAACGAUAUUUUAAACUAGCCACUUGAUGUAUUAUGAUGCAUGCCACGGAAGGCUUUGGAUGUAGAAAUCAUGUGAGAAAAGGAUGACGCCUGUAACUUGUCUACGAGUCAUGGAAAGCCACUUGGAUUUUAAGUGGAUAAUGAUUAAGUGAAGAGCUUCUAGUCCCAAGAUAGUGGACUUGAAGUAAAUUUGGCUCUACUAUUCUCAGAUGGAUAAACUGAAGAUAACAUUAAUGCAGAAACUGACUGGCUGCGAUUAAUAUAAUCAAAGUUCAUUAUCCUCGAAUCUAUGUCUUCCUCAACAUCCGUCAUCUGAGUAAUUCCAAAAACAUAUUUGAUUUGAUCGAAUAUUGUGACCAGAGAUCUUGCCAACAAUUGGACUGUGUAAUCAUAAGUCCUUUUCCAUAGAGGAAAUUCCUGAAGAUCCUUCUCUCUUUGUUGUUUCCAUGCAACCCUUCUUAUGUUAUUCAACCAAAUUCACACGAUAUGAAUCUCCAUCACUACCCUUCAUUCUUCACAGUCCACCAGGAAUACACUGAGUACACCGCGUUUGCAACACACUUUAUCUUUCAUAUUAGCACUUCUAUCAGUCCCGAAUACACACCCAAAUAUAUAGACAAAGACUGGAAGGUAGUAUGAAUAGGGGAACAGAGGACAUGGAUAGACACAUAGUAAAAACCGGGGAAGGAAUAAGUAGAGGAUGCCAAUUAACGUAGCCCCAUUUUAAGUGUUAAUCCAUGGGCUUAGAUUGGUGGGAAGAGUAAAAGAGAGAUAAGGCAAACAAUGUCAUCAAAUAAUAUACCAUGAAACAGAGUCUCACUGAGUUCGAAUGAUAAAAAAUAAAUAAAUGAAUAUAGUAAUAGGGAAUGAAACAAUAUUUGUAAGCAUAUGCAAACUAGAAACCAGCAACGUUCACAUAGAGUUUCCACCAUCCUCAACCCAACAAGCAAACAGUGUUCCCGAUCAUAAAUGAAGAAUAUAUAUUGGGAAGGUGAGCCAGAAAAAUAAACAGAAAGCUUACCUUAGAACUUUUCUAAAGAAGUAAAGUCUGCUUCUCUUUUCCAAUUCUCCUCUCCAGGAUGAAUCUGUUUCCCCACGUUUUCUCUAUGUGUGCUGAAAAGUCUUUUCUGAAAAACCCCCCCUUCUUUCCUAUAUCUCCUCCUCUGCUUUUGGUAUCCUUUUUUCCUUCCUCAAGGAUCUGGUCUUCCCUCCUUUUAUGCGUGCUGCCAGUCCCACUUUUCCAAAAAAAAAAACCAUCUUGCUGAAAAGGAAAAUCCCACUUCAUUUUCUCCUUUCUUUCCUUUCUUUAUUUUCUCAUUUUCCUUUUUUUAAAUCUUCCGAUUCAAAAGCAAUCUUCCCAAUUUCAAAUUCUCCUCCAAAACCUUCCAAGGAGAGUCCCACCUUCCUUAAACUCCAAUGGUAAGUUUCCUUGCAAAAACAUGAUUUUUUUUUUAAAGUAAAUAAUUGAAUGAAUAACUAAACAAGUAAACAAAAUAAAUAAAUGAAUAAAAUAAAAGUCUUAGUAGGCCUAGUGUGCCCAAACGGGCCUAAGGUGAGACUAAGUGGGUCAAGGUGGACCUAAUGGGCCAAGAGUGCCUAAAUGGACCUAAGUAGACUACCCUAAAAGCUAUCUCAAAAAUGAAUGAAAAGCCUAAGUCUAAAAUAGGGCUGUCAAAGGUCGCAAUAAGAAGUCAGAUAAUCCCUCAGCUAAAAUCUCCAGGGUGACUCAAAAAAGGUAAGUCAUACGAGUAGCAAUGUGCUAAAGGGACAAAAUUGAGGGUCUACAGUAUCCAAUCUAAAAUAAUAUUACCAAUGAAAGAAAGAUAGAAGUACAAUGUGAAUGAGUAUGUUUUAUUAAUACUUGUGAAAUUAUGUACAAAAAGUUUCUCUGGACUACUAAUACAGGGUGAAAUAGCAGUAAAAGUUACAAAAAGAAAAGCUCUCAUUGGGAAGGCUUGCGGUGCAACUUUUCCUCCUCACCCGGGGGAAUCGAAGGGACGUCCCGUUUGAUACCAUGCUUCUUCAUGCAGCAACGGUAGCCAAAGAAAUACAUCUCGUUUACCUGCUUCUGGUAUUCCAUCUCGAGUUCCUCCCUUUGCGCAGCAAACUCAGCCUUCAACUCUUCUUUUUAUGCUGAUAAACGCAACUGCAAUUCCUUUUUCUGUUUUUUCUCAAUUGACACCUCUGUCCGGAGUUGUCUCACUUCCCCCCUCAGCUGGGUCGUCUCGUCCUUUACCUUGUGCAGACGAGCCUUUGUAGAUUCCUCCCGUCUCUUUGCCUCUGCUAGCUCUAUCCGAAGAGCCUCGUUGUCGUCUUACGACUUCUUCAAAAACUCGGCACUCUCUUCAGAGGCUCUCCGGGCAACGGAUAAGCUGGCUUUAGCCUGUUCCAAUCUCGAGCGCAAUUCUUCUUCACCACUCAUGCGCUGGGAGACGAGGGCCUUCAUGUGGUCAGAAAUCCGUAGCAGGUCUGAAAAAAGAUCGCGUUGCCAAACCAUGCCGCGAAUACCGCUCACCAGCUGCAGAAAAACCCACAACAAGAAGUUCAAUUACAAACCAUGUGACAAGCAGACCAGUAUGACAAGGAAAAUCAAGAGGAGUAAGUUAUACCAUUUCCGCUGCCUCAAACAUUUUCACUGAAGGCAGAGCAACAUCUGAGCCUGGUGGAAUCCAUUUCAGCAUCUCUUCCAACUCCGCAUAGUUGGAAAGGCUAGCGGAGGUGCAAGUCGCAUCAUCAACUGGACUCCCGCCUGACAAAGCGUUAUGGUGUGGCUCCUCCCCUGGAUCCGGGCCCCCAUCAUGCACGGCCGGCUGGGUCUCUUCGGGCGAACCCUCAUCUGGGACCAGCACCGGGUCAGUUGGGUUCUCGUUCGCCAUCUCUGUCUCACUCUCCUCCGGAUGAUCUUCCUGGGCUGAUGAGCAGUUGACUUCGAUGGUUUCCAGAAGACGAUCUUGAAGCCGCCCACUGAUGCCGGACCUUAAAUCUUGGGCCGGACGAGACCUCCCCGCAGCUAGCCCCUUCACCGAUACAAGUGCAAGGGAGCUCGACUCACAAGGGGGCAAGCUCUGCCUUUCAGCCCCCGUUUCUUCCAUUGGAGGCGCCAUAGGAGGCAACGUUUCAGCACAAGGGGCCCCGGCUACACCCACGUUCGAAGGAGGAGAGUCGGACUGAUCCACUGAGGUUGCUUCCUCAACUAGAAGAGCCACCCGUUCAGCCGUUGGCAUUGAAGGCCCCGAUCCGUUUAGACACGCGAUAUGUCCGAAGCUGCUUGAAACAGAGGGCGAGCUGGAGGGGGUUGGAGAUCUUAUUGCUAUUCCCUUUGUAGGAACCUUCUUCUUCUUUCCCGCUGGGGCGCCAGCGGGAGAAAGGCGUGCGGGGCGUUUAUCACCAAGGGCCCUCCGCAAAGUUCCCUCUUGCCUUUUUUCCUCCCGUUCGUUGAGAAGUGCUUGGCGUGCCUAGGCGUGCCUAGGCGUCUGCCUUGCGCGCCUCCGUGUAGAAUGGAGAUCUUUGAUAACGAAAUGCUCCCCAAGCACUACCUUUUUGGCAACUUCCUAGGGAGAAUAUUAACGACGUACGCCUAGGGCUCCCGGACAACGGCCAACAAGUUUCGCGCAGUAAGUAGCGUCUGAUGAUGCCUCUCACCUGCCGCAAUCUCAAGUAACUUGUUCAAGCGGUCGAAGGAUGCUUUUUCCACCCACUCGACUACGCGACCCCUCUUGUCUGUACCUGCAUUAUCACCGACCAAAGAUGUUAGCCAUCUGAUAACCCCAAAAUAAAAAGAACAACAGAAGAACGCUGGACAAAUCCCACAAGCUGCCUUACUCGGAAGCACCAGCGAACGGUUUGGGAAAAACGGUCUCUUCGGAUGCUCCAGUAGCCCAGCCCAGACACCCCGGACUAAUACAUGCCCCUUGGCUCCUCCAUUCGUUGAAUCCAGAAGAUGAGUGACCAGUUGGAGGGAAGACAGGCGGGCAGCCAGGCUGAAAAGGUCAGUUUUCCCCUUCUUGAUGGAGUAGAUGAAAAGGACCUCCAACAGUGAAAGGUCCAGGUUGAACAGCAUACUUAGAAUGCUGCACCCCAUCAGCACCCGGACUAUGUUCGGAUGAAUGUAGGCCGGAGGGAUCUGGGUGAAGUGAAGAAAUUCUUUGAACAACGACGGGAGGGGGAACCGAAGCCCAACAUUGAAUUGUUCCUUGGUGAAGUAGAUAGCGUUGUCUGCAGACUUCUCAGUCGACACGGCCUCUCCGUCCACAAGUUGGACGGACACGCCAUUCGGGAUGCAGAAGCGUUCGCGGAACUCCCUCACGUUCAGCUUGUCCACGAAUUUUUCCGCGUGGACCUCUCCGGACGCAUCUUUGCCGCUCUGAUCGACCGCGCUAGACGAAGCAACGUCCUUUUUCGCAGACAUUUUUGAGAGUGGGGUUGAAACGGAACCUGCAUGGCAGAAUGCCAACAGUAAAAAACAAGGACCCGACCCCACAACCCUAAGAGCAAAAACGCCCAGAAAACCUAACAUCACCAGCAUACCCAUCCCAACCCUUGACUCUACCCAAAGAAGAAUCAGUAGCCCACAAAAGCCGUAGGGGGGCAACAGAAACCCUAACGCACCCAAAACACGAUCAAAACCCCCCGAAAAAGCCCUAGAAACCAAUACCGACUCCUAGUCGCAAGUAGCUUGCCCAACAAGCCAGAAGCAACCGUAAAACAAGCACAAUGAGAAGAAGGUAAGAAUAGAAAACGUACCGAGUGUAAACUGAAAAAAUGGAGAUGAAGUCCGCAGUAUAGUCACCGUCACGGCACGGGUAUUGCUAGUAGAAAACCCUCGAACCUGACUCACAGACGAAGAUACGCAGAAGGCUAAAGAAAAAGCACUACCAGCAGAAAAUGCAGCAGAAAAAAUGCAAGAGUGAGAGACUCAGUCUGCUAUUUAAAGAGAGACAGCCCCUCAGAAUUCUAACUGCUCAACUGCGCCGAUAUUGAAAAGACACGCUGCCUGGGAAUUCCCAGAGAUGGCGGCUCAUCAUAAAUGCUCUUCUUUCUCUUCGCCCCCGCGCACCACGUGGCCUAAUGAGCGAAAAAAGUAACCUCAAUUUAAAAAAAAAAAAAAACAACAACAACAAUCAUUUUUAACCCGCCCAUUUUGCCCGGGCAAAAUCGGCAGGUUAAAAGGGGGGCAUUGUAGGGACCCCUCCCCCUGAUGACACGUGGCACACAUCUCUAUCCGGAGCAACUCCAUCCGGAUUCCCUCAAGAGGACACGUGGCGCGUCCUCUAUCCGGACUCCCUCAGGGAAAGGCACACGACAAUCGCGACAUCUCUAUCCGAAGAAACUCCAUCCGGAUUCUCCCCAAGAGGACACGUGGCGCGCUCCCCUAUUCGGACUCCUUCAUUGAAAGGCACACGACACUCGCGAACAUCACAUCCGGACGACAGCAUAUACUAUCCGGAUAUGUUGUCCGGAUCAUUGAUUAAAGUGAGUAAGUGCUCCCCCCAACCGACAUAUUGCUAGUCCCUUAGCAAUGAAGGAGAUAAAAACUAAGUAACUAUAAUAAUAUACAUAAAAGGGAUCAUGAAAAUCACUCCAAAAAAUGAUAUGAGUGGCAUGAUGGACAUCCAUGGAUCAAUAAAGAUGUGAAACUCAACCUAUAAUAAGAGUUUUCAAAGCAUUCACUUGAUCAUAGAGUACAAAGAAUGGAUAUUAUGCAAGUUUAAGCAUCAAAAGAAUUUCCACUCUCAAAAGAUCCAAAUCAAAUUCUUCCACUAAAAGCUAAGUGUUAAUGUGAUUAGCUUCCGAGUAUAGUAUGGAUAACUAUCAUCUCCCCCCAACCUAAGUCUUUCUUUAAGCUUAGCAAAAUUAACCAUCUCUUGAUAGGCUAGGAACGCACCUCUUAUUCACAAUUCUUUUCACUUACUAAACUUAACCAAUUCACCCAUGUAACAAGCAGAGGAUCGGUGACUCCCAACCAAUAAAGGCUUAAGGCACCAGGCUUUAAAGGCUUUCGCCACCCCUUCGGACCAUGCUCAGGUUUCAAGGCAAGUAAAGAAGUUUAUUCUAUUUUUUUUUUAUUCUAUUUUUUUUUUCUACAAAGACUCAUUGGUCUUUAUGAGGUGUCCCAACACUAUUAAAGAGAGGUUAAAUGUGUCAAUUUAUGAUUUCUCAAGCUUAGAGGGUGAGAUAGUUUCACAUCUUAUAACCGGAAUCUAAUGUAUGUGUGUGCGAAUAGCUUAAGGUGGAAGAGAUAAGUUUGCAUGCAAUGGGAGUUUCAACAAUUCAUCAAUUUUUAGAAGAGCAUAAUACAAACUCUAAGACUCAUGUAAUCAAGUUGAAACUCGACUUCUCUCAUUUAAUUUUGAGAGUUAAUCCUUAAUAUCCAUGGAGUUUAAAGCAAAAAUUUUAAAAUUUAAGCAAAAAGCAACUAAAUUACCAAAAUAACUUAGCAUUAUUAACAAUACUUACUUCCUCAACUCUCCCCCAAACCAAGUUGAACAUUGUCCUCAAUGUGACAAAAGCGAUUGAAAAAUAGGGAGGAAGUGGUACCUCUUGAGUGACAUGGAGUCUGAGUCAUAUAGGAGAAACCACAUGUUUCAAAGAAAACAUAAAAGAGUUAGUGAGUAGAGGAAAUAAAAAAAUGCCAAGUUUAAACAAAAAUGAUGUCUAUAUAUGAUGUAUCAUCAGUAAUGCAUCCAAUCCCAGAAUAUAAGACAUCAAAACAAAGCUAUGUAUACUAAUAUAAUAUGUAAAGACCAAAAAAUAAAGAGAUGAUCAAGUAAUGGUAAGGUCUUGUGGAGCUGAUGCGUCUGUGGUGGCCUCUUGAAUGGGUUGGAUCAGAACUUUGGCCUCUGUUCUGGUAGUCUCCUUAGAUGGCAUAGUCUCCUCAACUGGAGCUCUCAGCUGGAGCUAUGAGAUUUGAUGGUUUAAGGAGGUCAGAAAUGGAGUGAGAGGCUUGGUGUGUGUGAUCCCAGGGUGUGCGGGGCUCUCCUCUUCAGAUGCAUGGUCGCAGGGCUCUGUUGGCAUUUUAGCAACUUCCCUUGGCUUUGCAAAGUGUUUUUGCAAACCUUCCUCAAUUACGCAAGUCUAUUUCGCAAUUUGAAGGCCAUUUCUAAGCUUGGAGGUGAUUUCGCAGCCAUUUCAAAGCUUGGAGAUCAUUUCGCAGCCAUUUCGCAGCUCAAAAGUGAUUUCGCAGGUGUAUUGCAGCUUCAAAAUGAGGAGAACUGUGUUGCAAAAUGGCACUCGUGUGCCAAAAGUGGUUUCGCAGCUGCGAAACACCCUUCCAAAUGGUGUUUCGGCUGAGAAAUUCCCGCUCAGCUUUGCGCGCUUGCCUUCAAAUGACCAUAAUUUCUUCAUUUCACCUCCAAAUCACAUACCGUUUGAAGUGCUAGACUCCUAACUUCCCAAGCUUUGAAACGAGAUAUCGUAUGCAUAAUUUGAGCUCCAAGAAGUGCUUCAAAAAUGUGUCCAAUAGUAGCAAAAUGGAGGUGCGACAUUUCCGUUCAUGGUUUGCAUAGUCAUCUUCAAACAGCCAUAACUUUUCCGUUUCAAAUCCAAAUCGAGCACCGUUUCAAGCUAUGGACUCGUGACUUCCUAAUCUUUGAAACGAGAUAUUGCAUGAAUAAUUUGAACUUCGGGAAGUGAUUGAAAUGUGUCCAACAAUUUCCGAAAUGGGGGUGCGGCUGUGAAAUUGGGAUUUUUCACGUUUUGGAACUUCGUAGCCGUUUCGCAGCUGCGAAAUGGGAGUCACUGUGCUGCGAAAUGGCACUCGUGUGCCAAAAGUGCUUUCGCAGCCACGAAAUACCCUGCGGAAUGGAGCUUUGGCUGCGAAAUUGGGAAUUUUCACGCUUUGGAGCUUCGCAGCCGUUUCGCAGCUGCGAAAUGAGGGUCACUGUGCUGCGGAAUGGCACUCGUGUGCCAAAAGUGCUUUCGCAGCCGCGAAAUCCUCUGCGGAAUGGGACUUUUGGUGCGAAAUCAGGCUUUACCACUUCGCAAUGCGUUUCGCAGCUGCGAAACAGAUGCUCCUGUGCUGCGAAGUGGCACUCGUGUGCCAAAGUUGGUUUCGCAGCCGCGAAAAUUUUCGCAGAGAGGGCUAUUGGGCUGCGAACUGGUUUCGCAGCAAAGUGUCGAUUUCGCAGAGGUUGCGAAAUCUCGCAGACCCCUAUUUUUGCCCUGUUUUUGCUCUGUUUUCGCUCCGAUUUUGCUCCGAUUUCGCUCCAAAAGACUUCCUUCAAUUUAUUUUCAAUUCCUCUUGAUUUUGAUCAUCCAAAAACCUAUAUUACAUCAAAACAAACUAGAUUUAAAGCAUUGAAAUCAAAAUUAAAGCAUUGAAAUCAAAAUUAAAACAAGUAAAAAAAACAAAACAAAAAGAUAUGGACUAGCUAGUCUUUGGAAAGACUAAGUCCAUCAAAAAAUUUGAUCCUGUGGUUUAGCUUGCCCGGAUCCCAUAUGAAGUUUGCAUCUCUCAAUUGAGACUUGGUUUGUAUGAUUUUCCCAUACAAAGCUUGGAGAAAAGUUGGAGGCAUGUGUUUCAUCAUUUCUUCCUUGAUGACUAUCCUCUGUGGUUCUUUUUGUACAUUAACCUCAUAGCCAUCUUUCUCUAUGCUUUUCCCCUUUUUCUUUCUUUGAUUUCCUCCCUAUUUUCUUUCUCUGUUUCACUCUCUACCUUAUGCUCUAGCUUGCAUGUGGGCAGAUCAACCUCUUUACCACUCCUCAGAGUGAUCACUUCUUCAAUUUCCUUCACCAUUGAAGAUUCUCCCUCUUGAGCCUCCAUUUCAUGGAUACUCAUGGAAUUUUGAUAAGGUUGAGAAGGAGAGUUUUCUUUCUCUUGCAUUGUGUUGAGGUUGGCAAGCCUUGAGAUUGAAUCUUGGAGAAUAUCUAACUUCUGAGAUAGAUCAUUUUGCAGUUCAUCCAUCCUUUUAAUCAAUGAACUCUCUACACUGUCAAUUCUUUGAUUGAGCUGAGCAUUGAUGGAUUCCUGAGCUCCAACAAAGUCUCCCACGAACUUGCUAAGAUUCACCAUAGCUUGUUCAAGGAUUGAGGCUUGCUGUGGUGCUUGAGCAGGUUGCUUGUACUGAUGCGGCUGUGGUUUCCAAGAGAAAUUUGGAUGGUCCCUCCAAUUGGAAUUGUAGGUGUUGCAAUCACCAAACAUUUCCCUCUCGGCUGGAAUGGUAGGACACUCAUCCACCAAGUGCUCAUAAGAUAGACAAAUGGCACAAGGCAUAGCUUGCAAUGGUGUUUGAGAGAUGGCUUGCACUUCUUGCAUCUGGUUCAUUUCUAGCUCUUCCAAUCUCCUUUCCAUAGCUGCAAUCUCUGCCUUCAUGUUCAUACCAUCAUUCAAAAUAUACAUCUCACCCUUAGCUUUAGGUUGAGACGUCAUUCUUCCCCUAUCUCUAGCAUUUGGUUCAUCCCAUCCUCUUGACACUUCAACCACAUAACUCAUGAAGUUCAUGGCUUCCUCUGCUAUGGUAUUCAAUAUGGCAUGCACAACUAGCAACUUGUGAAUUAAAAACAGAGAAAACAAAAGAAAACAAAAGAAAACAAAAGAAAAACAAUUCAAAGAAAGAAAAUUAAAGUAAACUAAAAACUAAAGAAAAGGUAUACUAAAAUAUGAACAAUAAAGAAAUAAAAAGAGUUAGUAAAAGGAAAAGAAAAGUCACCAAACUUGUGAUGAAGAUCACAAGUACUCUGAAAAGGUGAUAUCACUGUAAAGUGGCACCAUCCCCGGCAACGGCACCAUUUGAUUCGUCCCUAGCAGCGGAAGUGGCAAUGGCACCAUCUGAUUCGGGGUUCGAUCCCCAGCAACGGCACCAUUUGAUUCAUGCCCAAUUGGUGUCUCAGCUGAUUCGUGUCCAGCUGGUGCUCCUUGAUUGAGGGAGUAAUCAACAAAAUUUAUAACCUAUUACACCAUAUACUAGGGUAGCAAAGACAAAGCUACUAUAGCAUAGUGGCUCUAGGAUCGUUCACUGGGAUGGGUUUUCACUUCACAAAUGAUAUUAAUUCAAAGUUGAAUUGGUGCCUUUUCAUUUCAAGGUUAGCUUUAAAAGAAAACAUAAAGAUGUUUGAAUGAAAAAGGAUUGGUUUUAAGCUAACAAAAAAUAGUAAUUGAUUNNNNNNNNNNNNNNNNNNNNNNNNNNNNNNNNNNNNNNNNNNNNNNNNNNNNNNNNNNNNNNNNNNNNNNNNNNNNNNNNNNNNNNNNNNNNNNNNNNNNNNNNNNNNNNNNNNNNNNNNNNNNNNNNNNNNNNNNNNNNNNNNNNNNNNNNNNNNNNNNCAUUAAAACUAAACAACAAAACUUCCAAAUUAUGCAUUUGGAAACUUACCCGGCUUUCCUUACUCCAAGAGACAAAAAGCUUAGCCUCUCAUCCUCUGCGGAAAAAUCCUCAGAGUUUGGUUGGCUAGAAAUAAAAAGAAAUGAAAAAUGAAAGAGAAGGAAAAACAGAGCAAGGCUCUGUAUAUUCUAUAUAUUGAUCGAUGGAUUACAUGAUUUUCUUACAAUGGAUGCAAGAGAAUAUAUAUAGAGACGUUUUUCCAACCUUCCCAACUAAGAAAUCUUAUGGUUGGUGGAUUACAAGGAGAAGAAUGGAAAUUUAUACAAAAAUAUCUGAAGAAAAAUAUCCAAAAGUGUCGGUGGAAAAUAUCGGGAAGCUUCAGGAACCAUUUUGCAAGAGAAAAUGGUGUCUGCGAGAUUUCGCAGGUACUCAAGAAGGGCUGCGAAAUCACUUCGCAGCAAAAGGCUGAUUCCACACCUCUACGAAGUUGGCUUUCAUCUUUUGGUGUUUGGCUUCCAUCGCGGUGUGAAACUUCAGGGGAAAUCCAAAGCACUGUGCAAAAAGGCUGCGAAAUUCUCGCAACAAAAGGCUGAUUUCGCAACACUUUGCUGAAUCCUUCCUUCAGCUUGGAGCAGUCAUCUUCCAAAGGAUGUAACUUCCUCAUUUCAGCUCCAAAUCGUACACGGUUUGAAGCGUUGGAUUCUUGACUUCCUGAGCUUUGAAAUGGUAUAUAGCAUGUAGAAAAUGGACUUCGGGAAGUGCUCCAAAAGUGCACAAGAAGACUGCAGCUGCUGUCCUCUGUUUUCUUCACUCUGUUUUUCCUCUCUCCUUUGUUCUUUCCUUGCAUACUUUGAACGACUUUGGCAAAGGGCUAUGGAGCUCCAAAGCUUGGUUCUUCAUGAAUUUGAGCUCUUCAUUUCUUUGCCAUGGAUUCCAAAUAACUCUCCUCAAUCUUGGAUUGUUUUGGUGAUCAAAUUACUAACAAAAACACCAAAACUUACACAAUUUGAUUAGAAAUGAUUGCAAGGGUCCUUAACAUGUUAAUUGGGUUAAAAGGCAAUAACUACUACUCAAAAGUGUUUAAAAGAGUUAAUUACAAUCUAUCAAAUAGCACUUUUUGAGUAGUAAUCAAGUAAGUCUUGCUACAUCAUUCCGACAGCCUGCCACAGCCCACGAUUCGCCGCCUAUAGAGCGAAAGGACAAGGAGGGUGGCAAGUCACCUCCGACGAUCCGCCGCCUGUAGAGCGGAAGGACAGGAAUGAUGGCAAGUCACCUCCCACGAUCUCUGACAACCGUCUAUAGGGUCAUGAUGACUCUGCCACCACCUAGAGGCAUCAUGAUGAGCCAAAAAGUCUUUCCAUCAUUAAAGAGGGAGGACGAGCUUCUGACAUUAUAUAAAGGAACCUUCGCACAAGGAAGGAGGUAAGCUUGCUAUACCUAGUAAAAGGCUAACUGCUUAAUCGCUCUAGACAUGGUUGACAAAACCAUCGGAGGGUGUGUCCGGACACCCUAUCCGGACAUCUUUUGCAGGGACAACUGAACUAGAACUCGAUUUUGGUUGAAAGCGUGCGUCCAUUUGGCACCUAUGUGGAUCAUUGGGACGCAAGGCCUCAACAAACCUGCCACCACCAAUCUUCAACCCGGAAUUCUUUUUAAAAAAAGAGUGAAACCAUCUUUUGAUCUUUGGGUGGAUAUUUUAGGCAGUGGGUUUUGUUGGUGGGCUCCCAAGGCAUUGACUUGUGGGCUUAAGUAGGUUCAUGUGGGCCUUAAGCCAUUUUCUUUUAGUUUGGGCCGAAUGGGUAAUGUUUGUUUGGGCCUCCUAGGUUGGGCUUGGUGUAGAUGGAGCCCAAAAGCUCUUUUAAUGAAUGGACUUGGGCUUGAUGGAGAUGGAGCCCAAGGCUCUUUUAAUGAAUGGAUUUGGGCUCAUAGACUUGGGCUUAUGAUGGGGAUGGAACCCAAAGCACUUUCAAAAUCUUAUUAUUAUUAUUCUUAUUAUCAUUAUUAUUAUUAAUUCAACUUUCCAAAUCUUAUUAUUAUUAUUAAUCUUAUUAUUAUUAUUAUUAUUAUUGUUAUUAUUAUUAUUAUUAAUUCAAACUUUCAAAAUCUUAUUAUUAUUAUUAUUAUUAUUAUCAAUUCAAACUUUCAAGAUCUUAUUAUCAUUAUUAUUACAAAUUCAACUUUCAAAAGUCUAUGUUCUCGUAGUUCAAUUUCCUAAAGUCCAUUUCUCAUUUUCUUUAACAAAUUUCAAUUUAAUUACCGGAGCUCUAAUAUUUUAAAUUUAAUUCCAAAUACUCCAAUUUUCAAAUAAACUCCAAGAAUCCAGUUUUCAAGGCCGCACCUAUAUCAAUCGAUCAUUUUCCAUGUCAGUUUGAGUCGGGGUCGCACCUAUAUCGAUCGGCCAUCUUCCUAUCAUUUCCAUUUCAGUUUCAGGUUUUCAGGGUCGCACCUAUAUCGAUCGGCCAUUUUCCUAUCAGUUUGUGUUUUCGGGAUCGCACCUAUAUCGAUCGGUCAUCUUCUUGUCAGUUUGAGUUUUUAUUUUAGGGACCGCACCUAUAUCGAUCGAUCAUUUUCUGUGUCAGUUUAUGUUUAGCUUGAGUCGGGAUCGCACCCAUAUCAAUCGGUCAUUCAUCUUAUCAGUUCAGUUUGACGUCUAGGGUCUUUGUUCAGUAUGACAUUCAGAGUCACAUCUUUAGUUUUGGCAUUCAGAGCCAUUGUGCAUACUCAUCCAGGCAUUUUUGGGUCACCAUGUAUCAUCCAUUUUGGGCAUUUAGAGUCACUUUCCUCACCUGGCUACUCUGGUGCUUAUUGCUUAUUCAUCAUGCUCUUCUAGAUUUCCCCUUUCACUACACAUGACACGGUCUUUUGAGAUCAUGACACAUAUUUCUGUCAUGUUGUCAGACACUCUACACCUAUCAUUCUCAUGUAGGUCACAUAGGGAGUCUCCUUUGGACAUGUUCUUUCUCGUACUUCAAGGUGGUUCAACCGUUACUCAUCUUUGACAUCGAUCUUUGAGUCACUCUCGGAGACGUUUUAGAGGGAGUCUGGGUCCUUAGUGUGACUUCAGAGGCAUUUUGAGAUAUCAUUUUCCCUUAGGGUUAGAGCCUUUGUUCAUUUGUUGGCUUGAGUGAGUUCUGGUUUCACUCAUGUCCUUUUAGGGGUCUCCUUUGUUCUUCGGUAGAGUUCACUUCAUUCCACUCACUAUUCACACUUUCUUUAUCACUUUAGUGUUCAUAUUCCUUACACUCGUGAACUCUACCGAAGAGGGGCAUAUUUGUAGACCCCCUGGUUGGCUGGAGGGAGAUGAAGAAAAUAUUUUUUUUUAGGGGAGUGGGUGAGAUUGGAAAUGAUGGAGAGGACGGGAGCAGCUGGGAGAUUGGAGGAGGGGUUUUUGGGUAGAAAAAAAAAAUCUGGAAAAAAAAUCUUGAAGAGAGAAAAUGGGUAGCAGCUAGAGGGGAAGAAGGAAACCGGGCAGCACAUGCAUUGGAAGAGAGAAAAUGGGCAGCAGCUGGGGGAGAAGAAGGAAACCGGGCAGCACAUGCAUUGGAGAGGAAAACCGGGCAUCAUAUGCAUUGGAGGAGAUUUUGGGCAGCACAUGCAUUGAAGGAAGAAAAAAAUCUGGGGAUAAGAGAGGAAACCGGGCACCAAAUAGACCUUUCUUCAACCUCUCGUCCUCUCUCUUUGUUUUCCAUCUCUGGGUACUUUCUUUUCUCCACUCCAUGCUUGUUUUUUUUAACUUCUUUUCUAAGCUCAUUGAUGGAUAUAUAGGGUGAGGAUGAUAUGAGCUUAUUUAGGUUCUUAUUAUUGGAGCUUUGUUCUACCAUCUUCACCGCCAACCUGCCACCACCGAUCUUCAACCCGGAAUUCUUUUUAAAAAAAGAGUGAAACCAUCUUUUGAUCUUUGGGUGGAUAUUUUAGGUAGUGGGUUUUGUUGGUGGGCUCCCAAGGCAUUGACUUGUGGGCUUAAGUAGGUUCAUGUGGGCCUUAAGCCCUUUUCUUUUAGUUUGGGCCGGAUGGGUAAUGUUUGUUUGAGCCUCCUAGGUUGGGCUUGGUGUAGAUGGAGCCCAAAAGCUCUUUUAAUGAAUGGACUUGGGCUUGAUGGAGAUGGAGCCCAAGGCUCUUUUAAUGAAUGGAUUUGGGCUCAUAGACUUGGGCUUAUGAUGGGGAUGGAACCCAAAGCACUUUCAAAAUCUUAUUAUUAUUAUUCCUAUUAUCAUUCUUAUUAUUAAUUCAACUUUCCAAAUCUUAUUAUUAUUAUUAUUAUUAUUAUUAUUAAUUCAAAAUUUUAAAAUCUUAUUAUUAUUAUUAUUAUUAUUAUCAAUUCAAACUUUCAAAAUCUUAUUAUUAUUAUUAUUAUUAUCAAUUCAAACUUUCAAGAUCUUAUUAUCAUUAUUAUUACAAAUUCAACUUUCAAAAGUCUAUGUUCUCGUAGUUCAAUUUCCUAAAGUCCAUUUCUCAUUUUCUUUAACAAAUUUCAAUUUAAUUACCGGAGCUCUAAUCUUUUAAAUUUAAUUCCAAAUACUCCAAUUUUUAAAUAAACUCCAAGAAUCCAGUUUUCACUCGAAUAGUUUUAAUCCCAUUUCAGUUCCUAAAUAAUCUUCUCAUCUUCUUGAUUUUACAUAAGCAAUAAUGAUUCCUUCAUAAUUCUAAAACACGGGAUUUGUGAUAUUAGCUCAUGAACAGUAAAUUGGGCUUUGAUGGGGGCCCUAUGUUUGAUCCAUUUUGACUGUCAAUUGUCGUGCUUAAUAUAUUUUGCUUGAGCUUCGUUUUGCACUCCGAUAUGCAUGGGUUAUACUUUGUAUUCAUUAAUUGUGCACUAAUCUCGUUUCUUGAUAGCACAUUGUGGCUCGUAGUCGAGAUACGCAUCCACUCUCAUUCUAGUCAAUCUCUAUUGCAUGUUUUGAUUCUCAUAUUAUGCAUGAUUUAGGUGAGUAUCCAUUGACUUUCUCGUUGAUCGCCGCGUCAGUUUCAUUUUAUUAGUAGAGACCCACUUUAGGGACUUAGAGGGAUGCUACGGUCCUUACCGUACCUUCUUAAUAAGUAACCUGACCCCCGAACCCGAUCCGGUUUUUCGCAGACCACCUUUUCCAAAAUAAGGAGUCACACUUAGGGUUUUCUUUCUUAUUUUGUUUGCCCUUUAAAAAUAAAACAAAAAUAAGUGGCGACUCCAAGUCAUUUUUCCUAAUCAAUAAAAUCAUUUUUCAAACAAAAAGUGAGUUUCGCCAUCGAGUGGGAAACGCAUGAGUCGAAAUGCGUGGUCCACAAUAUGAUAUAAUAUAAAAUAAAAUAACAAAUUUUAAGAUUUAAAGGGUGUUAAUGAACAAAAAAAAAAAUAGAUAUAAUCAAUUGAGAUUUAAAUCUAAUGAUAAAAUUGAAUUCAAAAUUAAUGUAAAAAAUAAAAUUAAGAUAAAUUUUGGGAUCUACAAAUAUGUUAAGUAUGACUCCUCUUUCUUUGGUCAUUACUACAAUUUGUAUAUAGAAUAUUAAGAUUAUAUUUAGGAACUAUUCUUAAAAAUAGUUUAUUGUUAUUUAAUAAAAAAAACAUGUUUGACUAUUAAGUGUUACCUAAAUUGGUUUGUAAGAAUAUUUUCUCAAAACAAGAUGUUAAAUUAUUUAAAAAAUAAUUAUAUAAAUAUUGAAAAUGAUUAAAAAUAAAAUAUUACAUAUAAAAAUUAUUUUAAAAAACAUAAAAAAUACAUUAAGAACAUUCAAAGCUCUUACACAAUUUUUUAUUUAUAAAAUAUCAAAGAACUACUUUUAAAAACUAUUCAUUUUUAUAACUAUUUUCGAAACGUUCUCAAACAAGCACUAAAAUUCUUUCUUCCCUAUUUUGGCAAAAUAAAAAUCUUGGAUAAGGGACUACACAUUUUUUUUACAUAUUUUUUAGGUUUAUUUGAGUAUUAUGUUUUUCAUGUAUUCAAUUUCUUUCAUAAGAAUUUAAAUUACGUGAAUAAUGUAAUACCUAAGUAGGAUUAAUUGCCUACCAAAUUUCCUGCCCGAAUUUAGCCUUAGACUUUAUUUCUUUUUUAAAAGUUUCUAAAUUGAUUCUAAUAAAAUAAAAAAAUAAAAAAGAGUAAAGAGAAGGCGUCAAACUCCAUAAUUGCCCACCAAAUUUCCUACCAGACUUUUGCCACUCAUGUCCUAAUCAACGUAUUCAAUGGCAUAUUUGAUUUUCAACCACUCCAAUCCCAAUCUAUUUUGUUGAAUCAUUUUCAUCUAUUAAAUAUGAGAUCUGGUGUUUUUAAUGACACCACCUCAUUUAGGUGAGACAUUUGGAAAAAUCAAGUGCUUGCUAGCAUUGUAAGGUACUGAUAAAGACACGUCUGAGAGUACGCACAAAGGUACGAAAGUAGGUAAUCCAUUUAUUAUUAAUCAAAGUUUUAGACUCAAUUUGUGUUUCCAGACAAUUAACGCAUUCUUCUGCUUUGAAAAUUCAAGUUCAGAACUUUCCCUUUCAGAAAAAAAUUUAUAAAUCCAAUUAAUCUUUUAAUGAUGAAAAAUUGAAUAAAACAAAAUUUGAUUAAAAUUAUUUGAUUCCAUUUAGAUGGUCUACUGCAAGUUAAUUUAGGCCUUAAGUUUAAUUUAUUUUUAAAAAUAAGUAAAAUCAAUUUGACUUUAAACUUUAGAAUAUAUUUAAAAUAUCUAAUUAAAAGUAUAAAUACAUUUAAAAAUUAAUCUGAUCAAUAAUACGCUAAUAACAAAUUACUAACUAGAGUUUAUAAAAUAUAAAUAAUAAUAAAUAAAUUAAAAAAUAUUAUAAAAUAUUGAACAAUAAUAACAUCACAAGACAUGGAAGUCACCAAUUGAAUACAUUUUGAUUAGAUUGAAGGAAUCUUUUUAUUUUCGACAUAGGCGGCAGAAAGUCACCUCUUAUGGUUUGAAAAGUAGAAGCAAUGGCACCCUUGUAAACAACCCACUCCUGCGUUCUUCGCCUAUCCAUUGGUACCAUUAACGAAAGAGUCCCUCUGCAAUUCUACAGACUGCAGGGCAGGUAGAGGCAAUGGCUAUGGGUUAUUUGGAACUAACUUUCUUCCUCUCAUGCCUUCUCAUACAGCUUGUUCCAUUCACUGUAGCCCAGUUUUUCCCUAAAGAAGAAUGCAUUUCAGACAGAGGUAACUACACCAAUGACAGUACCUAUCAGGCAGACCUCAAUAGCCUCCUGACCUCCUUCUCAAAUACCCAAGUUGAGUAUGGGUUUUACAAUGCCUCCGUUGGUGAGGUGAACGGAAUCGGACUCUGUAGAGGGGAUCGCACGGUGGAUACAUGUCAUAGUUGUAUCAAUAACUCCAGCCAGGACAUUCGACGAUUAUGUCCCAACUACAAGGAGGCAGUUUUGUAUUACGAUUUUUGCACGUUACGAUACUCUGACCGCCCCAUAUUUGGCACAGAGGAGACUUCGCCUUAUUACCCUCUGGGAAACACCCAAAAUUUCUCGGACAUCGAACGCUUCACACAGCAGCGGGACGAGUUGAUUCAUGACCUCCGAGGAAAAGCCGCGUCGGGUGGUGCUCUUCGAAAGUAUGCAACAGGGGAUUCAACGGUUAAUCUAGAAACCAUAUAUGCACUUGUCCAGUGCACUCCUGAUUUAGACGAGCAGGAAUGCGAUGACUGUAUAGCCGGCCUUAGUAGUCAAGUUGCCGAUUUUUUAAAGUAUGGACGAGGAGGGAACGCUAAGGCACCAAGCUGUAACUUUAGGUUCGAGACCUAUCGGUUCUAUGACCCUCUCCCUGAUGCACCGCCACCAUCUCCUACUAAUUCUUCUCGUCCUCUGCCAAAUGAUGCCACUGCUGGAGACGGUAUGCACUUGAUACAUCCAUGCUUUCAAAACAUCACCGACUGCUUUUAGAUUCAAACCUGCGAUGUAUGAGUCUAAGCUUCCCUCAUCAUUUCUAGUUUGCAGUUAUAGAAUUCAGAGUAGAGAAAUCAACUGAAACUUACCCACUCAAAAUACGAAGUCAACUUCCAAACCUGUAAUCUUCAAUAGAGUUCUAGAUAUGAUUUACCCCCAAAACCACAGUAUCUUGUACCCAGAACAGAGAUUCCUCUCCACUUGAGACUCUACAGUCACCAAGAGAAACCAUGAGCUUCCUCAAAGGAAGAAAUCCGAUCAAGGUGGAGACCCCUCUCUCAAUUUUGAGUACAACUCAAAUGAAAAAAAAAAAAACUCUUUGUUGGACAAGAAUGUACUCUUGUUUUUUUUUUUUAUACUGAAUUUCUUAGCAGCCUCUAAAGCUUUAAAUUACUGAUCUAGCUUCUGUUUUUGGUGAACUGGAAUCUGCUAUGGCAUGCCUUAAAUCUGUAGUGUGGAAGAUCAGUAUAUUUAGGAUACAUGAAUGCUCAUUCUAUAGAUAGGGUGACAUGGUAUGAAUUAAAAUUCAUUAAGGAUCAAAAUUUAUUCCACUCUUAUUCACCCAUACGACUCCUAAUUUCUUUAACUUUAAUUAGGAAAUAAAGAGACUUGAUUGAAUUAGUGUGACAAAAUUCCAUGAUAUGCAUGCUAACUCUUCACUAGAUAUUCGGCAUCGGAAAUUUGAUGAGAGGAAAUUUGUGUUUUCGCAGGAAAAAGUAACAGAACGCGAACUGUAGUUAUCAUUGUUAUAGCAACUGUUGUUUCUGUGAUACUCAUCUCCUGCAUCUGCAUCUGCAUCUUUUUGAGAAUGAGAAAGCCAAAAGACAAAGAUGAAAGUAAGUUCAAAUGAACUGCCCUUAUUACUUGUUAUUUAAAAAUUAAGUUGCUUUCCAUUUUUUGCUGGAACUACUCUCCUCAAGAAGUUUAAAUAUAUAUAUAUAUAUAUUGCCAUUAAGUAUAAAUUAACAGAUGUUCAUAUCCGUAACCAUGACGUCUGUAUUAAGCAAACCUUUAUCCUUGUUAAGGAUCUUAAUGAAAAAGCCCUUCUAGGAAUACCCUUCUUAAGCUCUAUUUAUCCCUUGUGGGUAGAUAACCAAGGUAUAAGAACAAAGCUUUUUGAUAAGGAAAUUCUUUUUGAAUUUGCUAAUCCAACUGUAAGCAUCACACCUUGUAACCAAGGAAUUAAUCUUGUUAGUAUAGAUGUUCCUCAUAAGAUAAUAGGCAACCAAUUCAUGCAUAAUGAUAUUUUAAGCAUUUCUUUACGCAUUUCAAAAUUUUUAAUUAUUGGGAUUAUCAGAGAGCAUGGUUUAAUGCUUUUCUGAUCUAGAACCACUAGGGAAGAAGAAGGAUCCAGCUCAGGAAAUCCUAGGAACAUUAAGCUAACAGGUGUUAGAAGUCACACCAACGUGGCUAGACCAUUUUACAGUGAAGAAAAUGAGUCUACUCAGGAAUCCCAACAGGAUGAGUCCCCUGUUAUGUCUCCUACCUAUUCCCAGAUGAUUAACACAAUAAGCCUAAGUGAUGAGGACUUUGAGAUCAACAAGGAUCUCUUAAGAAAGGACUUCUAUUCUGAAGUCAAUAAGCAAAGAAAUGAUUGGUUCUUUAGCACUGUCCCUAAGGUCAUUAGAACCAUUUACCAAGAAGAAUUUUAUGCUUACUUAAGACAAGAAAAGAAAAAUAUUAAGUUUUGGAUUUGGUUUGAACUCUUCAAACAAGAGGAAUAUCCAGAUUAUCCUUGUAAGCGUAUUAACAACACUAAGAGCACUGAUAAAACUAAGUCCUUUGAAUUUUCUAAGGAAUUCGAGGAAAAUCCCCAAAUCAACCAGGCUUUUGUCGAUAGGAUUAAUCAAAAGAUUAAGGAUAAUCUUGUUACUCCUUUGACUGUCCAGCCUCAUAAGAGAAUCAAUAUGGUUAAAGGUGAUAUUAGUUCAGAAGAAGAAGCUGAUGAACUAAUUAAGAUGUUUGAGGAAUCCCAUAAUCAAAUUAUUAACAACUUGGAAGCCUUUAAGACUAGGAAUUACUAUCCUAGACCUACUUUUCCUGACAUGCAGUUUGAGGAAAGAAAUCAGUAUACUCAAGCCUCAUACACCAGUGGUACUAUCUAUGAAUGGAACAUAGAUGGUAUGACCGAGUAUAACAUACUCACUAAGCUUCAAGAGAUGACCAUGGUAAGUACAGCCUAUAAAUUAAACAAUAGACUGCCAGAUCAUGCUGUAGCUCAGACCAUUGUUGCUGGGUUUACAGGUCAGCUUAAGGGUUGUGGGAUAAUUAUCUCACUUUUGAUGAUAGAUAGUAUCCUUAAAGCCUAUAGGAUUAUGNNNNNNNNNNNNNNNNNNNNNNNNNNNNNNNNNNNNNNNNNNNNNNNNNNNNNNNNNNNNNNNNNNNNNNNNNNNNNNNNNNNNNNNNNNNNNNNNNNNNUCAUGAUUUAGGUGGUAUAAGGAAGUCUUCCUAACCAAAGUCAUGCUAAGGUCAGAUUGUAACCAGUCUUUUUGGAAAGAAAAAUUCAUCUCAGGUUUAUCCAAGCUUUUCUCUGAGAGAAUUAGGAUCAAGAUAAGGGAACAGUAUAACGGUCAAAUCCCUUAUGAUAAGCUAACCUAUGGUGAGAUUAUAAGCAUUGUCACAGCUGGAGGGAUUAAGUUGUGCAAUGACUUCAAGCUUAAGUAACAAAUGAAGAAUGAACAAAAAAUCUACAAGAAUGAAUUUGGAUCAUUCUGUAGCCAGUUUGGUUUCAGCCAAAAAGAAACUAUGCCUCCCUCUAAGCAAAAACCAAGCAGGAAGCCUAGCAAAGAUAAGUUUUACCACAGUAAGAGAGGUACCCAUGACAACUAUAGGAUGAAUGAUACUAAGCAUUCAAGGCACGUCCAAAGAAGGGUCAACAAAGAUACCCAGAAAAAGGUAGAAACUCCUUUAGAUGUCAAGCCAAUUAUCUGUUUUAAAUGUGGCAAAGUUGGUCAUUAUAAGAAAGAUUGUAGAGUUAAGCAAAAGAUUAAUAACUUAAGUGUCUCAGAUGACCUAAAAAAUAUGCUUUGUAAGGUAAUGUUAAACUCCUCAGAUUCUGAAUCAAGGACUGAUUCAGAUAAUGAAGAUGAUAUUAAUCAACUAGAUAGCAGUGGCGAUGUUUCUAGCCAAUCUUCUAGUGACCAAGAUGUUUGUAUUAAGGGUAAUUGUAAUUGUCGUCCUAAAACCAUAAAUGUCAUAAGCCAAGAUCAGGAAUUCAUCCUAGAUACUUUAAGAAAAGUUGAAGAUGAAAAGACUAAGCAAAAUCUUUAUGAAGUUUUUAAGAAAUCUGUUGUUAAGGUAGAAGCCAAGAAGACUGUUAAUCCUUAUAACCUUAACGAUAUCUUAAACAGGUUUGACCAGCAGUCUCCCAAGGAUGUCAGCAUUAAGGAACUUCAUGAAGAAGUUAAGCAGCAUAAAAAGGAGAUUAAGGAGUUAAGACAAUUCAUAAGUCUAGGUCUCUCUGAUCUCCAAGAUCAAAUCAAUAGAAUUGGCAACCAAGAAAUCCAUAUGGAUAUUCCAGAAUCUUCUCAUGUUAAUGAUAAUGAGACAGAUACUUUUUUGAAUACUGUGAGUAGGGUUAUCUUCCAGAGGUGGGAAGUCUCCCUUACUAUAGUAGUCAAAGAUAAAUUUGUCUUUGAUAUUAUUGCUCUGAUUGAUUCAGGCGCAGCUGAAAAUUGCCUUCAAGAAGGUCUUGUACCUAUUCCUUUAUGCGAAGAGACUAGUCAGUCUCUAUUUGGAGCCAAUGGAAAAAGACUUGCCAUUAAGUAUAAAUUAACAGAUGUUCAUAUCCGUAACCAUGACGUCUGUAUUAAGCAAACCUUUAUCCUUGUUAAGGAUCUUAAUGAAAAAGCCCUUCUAGGAAUACCCUUCUUAAGCUCUAUUUAUCCCUUGUGGGUAGAUAACCAAGGUAUAAGAACAAAGCUUUUUGAUAAGGAAAUUCUUUUUGAAUUUGCUAAUCCAACUGUAAGCAUCACACCUUGUAACCAAGGAAUUAAUCUUGUUAGUAUAGAUGUUCCUCAUAAGAUAAUAGGCAACCAGUUCAUGCAUAAUGAUAUUUUAAGCAUUUCUUUACGCAUUUCAAAAUUUCAAAUUAGUAUUUUAAAUCAAGAAUUUUUAUUAAAAAUUGUUUUCAAAAAUGUUGAAACAAUUAAGUAUAUAGCUUUUAAGUAUAAUUUAACUGAUUGGAUUAUUUUAAACCCUAAUUUAUAUAUAUAUAUAUAUAUAAAAGCGACAAGUCACGGUGCAGUUGCUUUUGCAGUGACUAAGAAUGAGAUUUUGUAUGUGGGAAUAAUUAAGUUCCGGCUAUUAAUACAAGAUUUUGUGUUGAGUAGACAUUGAAACGCAGCCCAACACCCUUCAAUUAAAGCCCCCCUGUAUUUAUGUUACUCCUGUAUAAAGAUGCACUUAAUUACUUCAUUACACUUGUGUGUUAACUUUGUGAAGCUGAGGAUGAAAUUUUGGAAGUGGAAUCCUUGCAAUUCAACCUUGGUUCUAUUAGAAAUGCAACAGAUAACUUUUCUGAUUCUAAUAAGCUUGGACAAGGAGGAUUUGGAGCUGUUUAUAAGGUAACUAAACAUUGCCAUUAUAAGGGGGGAAAAAAAAUCUCAACUCAAAUUAUUAAAUUCCUUUAGACAAUUAGACUUGAUUUGAAGUGUCUCAAAUAUUAUACUUUGUUGUGGUAUAUUUCAGGGUACACUUUCCAAUGGACAAGAUAUAGCUGUGAAAAGGUUGUCCAAGGGUUCUGGACAAGGAGAACUAGAAUUCAAAAACGAGGUCUUGUUAGUAGCCAAGCUUCAACAUAGAAAUUUGGCUAGACUCCUAGGUUUCUGUUUAGAGGGAAUAGAAAGACUUCUCAUCUAUGAGUUCGUGCCUAAUGCAAGUCUUGAUCACUUUCUAUUUGGUAUGAUUUAACUUCCUCCUAUGUUUCGUAUGUACUUCUGAUAAUUUUUUUUAAUCUUUUACCAUGAGAAAGAGUUAAGAGUUUAUAGUCCUUUCUAAUGACAUACAUUUACAAAUAUGUAGAUCCUAUCAAGUGUUCACAAUUAUAUUGGGAAACGCGUUACAAAAUUAUAGUAGGCAUUGCUCGAGGACUUCUAUAUCUCCAUGAAGAUUCUCGACUUCAAAUUAUUCAUGAUGAUCUCAAAGCUAGUAACAUUUUGCUAGAUGAAGAAAUGAAUCCUAAAAUUUCAGAUUUUGGUAUGGCAAGGUUGUUUUCACUAGAUCAAACUCAAGGUGAUACGAAAAGGAUUGUUGGAACCUAGUAAGUAUCAAAAUCUCGGUAGAGCUAACAAUUAUGACCUUGUAUAUUUUUAUAUUUGUUUUUUUGUUGAUAAAAUUAUAUAUUGCUUAGCUAUCUUUUUGUCUUAGCAAAGCAAUCUCAAAAUCUUAGCAGAUACUUCAUUAUAUCCACUAAUAUAAUCAUGAAUUCUAUUAUCAAAAAUAAAAUUGAUCUAAUUAAUUACAAUAUACAGUGGAUAUAUGGCUCCUGAGUAUGCAAUGCGUGGGAACUUCUCAGUUAAGUCCGAUGUCUAUAGUUUUGGUGUGUUGAUUUUGGAAAUUGUUAGUAGUCAAAAGAAUGCUAGUUUUGGCAAUGAGGAGAAUAUGGAAGGCCUUAUAAGCUUUGUAAGUAUAAAUAUCUAUAUGUUAUAUUAGUCAUUUCCUAGAUGUAGCAUUCUAGUAAAGCACACAAAAUUGAAAGGCUUAAACCUUUUAUUUGGCAUUUUAUGUAUACAUUAUCAAACUAUUGCAGGCAUGGAGAAGUUGGAGGGAGGGGUCAGCUUCAAAUUUGAUAGAUCCUUCAAUGAACUCCGGUUCAAGAAGUGGAAUUAUGAGAUGCAUACAUAUUGGGUUGUUAUGCGUUCAAGAAAAUGUAGCUGAUAGACCAACCAUGGCUUCAAUUGUUCUCAUGCUUAGUAGUUACUCUCUCACUCUCCCAUUACCUUCACAACCUGGUUUCUUCAUGCAUAGUAGCACGAAUCCAGAUGCACCCUUGCUACAGGGAUCCGAUUCUGGGGUAAUCAAUUCUUCUAAUAAUGUUUCAGCACCCGUGUCUGUAAAUGAGGCUUCGAUUACUGAUCUCCACCCUCGUUAAUGUUAUAGAGGUGCAAGUUAUGGUGAAGUGUGACUCUUCUUGUUUUCUUGGUUCCUGAUCAAUUCCUACCACAUGAUUUAUUUUUUUAUAUCAAACCAGUCUUGAUUUUUGCUUCGAAUACUUGUUGGAUAUGCAUAAGUUUUUAUAUCAAUUUGUUGGAGUAAUAAGGUUAAAAGAGAUACAAACAAUUACAAAAGAAAAUUAAAAAGGAGGAGAACUAAACUUUGUUAUCUUCCACAAUUCUCUUUUUCAAAUAUUACACUCUUAUUUAUCAUCCUCACACUUAGCUAAAUAGAACCUAGCUCCUAAUAAUAGAACAUAUGAAACUUCUAGGAUUUGACAACUUAAAAAUAAAAACUAAGAUAAUCACUUAAAACAAAAUAUUUUCCCUUGAUUUUUAGAGACUAAAUCUAGUUCUAAUAGUUAAAAAGGUUUCUAAAUCAAGUUUAAUUUUCCAACAUGCCUUCUUAAACUGGAUUUGUGACUCCAAGUAGCAUUCUUAACCUUCUAAAUUUUCAAAUUUGAGAGAUUUGGUAAUAAUAUUAGCAAUCUGAUUUUGAAAUUUUGUAAAUUUCAAUUACAUUUCUGUCUUCAUAAUGCAUUCUCUAAUAAAAUGAUAUUUUGUAUUUAUGUAUUUACUUUGAUCAUGGAAAAGUGGAUUUUUUGACAAUGCAAUUGUUGAUUUGUUAUUCACAAAGUGGAUACCUUAUUGAGCUUAUAUCCCUUAGUCACCAAUCAUGCUUAGUAUCUCUCUACUUCCCAUUUUGCAUUGUCUUGUACACCUAUCUUACUUCAAUUACUUUUUUUUCCUUUUUGGAAGGGAUUUUAGUUCUCAUGUGUUAUUCUUCCCUAUUGUUUUUAUUUUGUCAUCCACAUUAUCUUUUUACUUUUCAACAUACUUGAUGUCAUGUCAAGAAUAGUUUUUUUUUCCUUUCAAUUAUGUUAAUUUGUUAUUAGGAAUGUGAAACCGUUAAAGGUUGAUGAAUUUCAUAAUUUUCACAAUAUUCUUUAAAUGUUUUUAUGUGAAUUCACUCCCUCUAAAUUCUUUCAACUAUUCUUCCUAGCUAUGUAUGUUAAUUUAUUCUUAUACUUCUAUGUAAAAUUGACCAGCCAAUUUUUGUCUGGAGUGUGGCCACUCCUGUCCCUAUCAGCUUGUUCAACUGCGUCUUUGACCACUUCAGUGGUCAGUCGAAACCAAACCUCCUCUGAUUUCAUCACUUUUAUUAACUAAAGAUGGGCACUUAGAUUAAUUAAAUACGAGAGGUAGGAAGCAAGGAAAAUGAGAGGAGAAAUUUGAAAGAAAAAAUUAAAUAAAAUUGUGAAUCUAUCAUAUCGGUGUGGUGGUGGCUCGAUGGGAUGCAUAAAAUUAACCAUGAAAUGGGGGGAGAUGAGAGUGAGACAUGGGUGAGUGAAAUUUAGAAAUUUGGGUGAUCAUUUUCUUAAAAACUUCUAUGGAAAGAGGCGAGAAGGAUAUUCGAUUGAUAAAGCCAAAGUCUUUAGAUUCCUGAAACUCCAUGGAUCCGACCUCGUGUUGGUGCAUGUAUGUGAAUAGGCAUGUCAGCUUUUGGUUCAGCAAAGGCGUGUCAAACUUGUCCUCAUGACUGCCUAUUUGACAAAACCACAAUAGGGUACGGUGGACAAAAAUUUAGGUGAGAUUUGUUUUUUUAUUUGAAAUAUAAUUAAGUCUGUAUUUAUAUAAUCUAAAUAAAUAUUCCGAUAAAUGUCAUUUACAUACAAAUUAAAGUAAAAAUAUCAUUUAGCACACAUUUCCUGUCUCUAAUUACCUUCGUUUUGUCUUUUUUCUUUUGAAUUUUGUUAGCAUGUUGUAUAUAUAUAUAUAUCAUAGUCUCAAUAUUCUAAUAAUAGUUUAAAUUUUAGAAAAAUUAGUAGUUAAAUAACAACCAUUACCUAUAGAUAUGAAGUUAAUUCUCUGAUCAAUGUCUCUCCUGCUGAAGUUUCUUUUAUUGCGGGGAUUUGAAAAGUAUUCAUUGAAGGGGUCCAUUCUAUUCUUUCUGUUCUUUUCAUAAUAAUAGUCAAAGCUCACCAUCAUUCACGGCACGUUGGAAAGUAUUCAGCCAAUUGGUGGUAUGUGUGGAAUCACUCCUUUCAUUAUCAGCGUAUUCAGACCGCAUCUUUGAUCACCAGUCCAGUCCCAAUCAGAUCUCUCUUCUAUUAAUUUAACCCUUUUUGCUAAUUAAAUAUGAGAAAAUUUGAUUGACUAAAUGUGAAACGCCUCGUACAGCUAGCUUUGGAAAGAAGAGGACAAAGUUGUCUGUGCAGUAGUAAAAAACCUAUGAAUAAGUGACCUCAAUGGAAUGUGAUUCAUGGGUGGGGUGAUUAUUAAUCGGGGAGCUACCAGUUGGGUGCAAAAAUUGAGGGCUUAUGAAUUAUUCUUUUAAGAUUUCGAUCAUCUUAACGUAGGAAGCCGAAAGGAGGAUGGACUGACCAACAAUGCGGCCCCACAUUUCUUCUAUUCGUGGACGUGUUUAUUUAUAAUUAGAAUGUUUCUCCAACUGCCUUUCUAUAUGCUUUUUUCCCAUUAGAACGUAUCAUAAGGAGCCAGUUGCUUCUUCCAAAGCUUUUCAAAUUCAGCUUCACACUGUUUUUAAUUUGAUAGAUACGUUCAACUUAUAAAAUUUUUACUAAAAUUAAUUUUAAAAAAAAAUUGUUUUCAAAAUAUAUUGUCUAAUGAAAUAAUUUAAAAUAUGAAAAUUAUCUUGAAAGCUUUUCAUUACACAUAAGUGCAUUGUUCGUUAAUAAAAAAUAAAUUAAAAUUUAAUUUAAUUUCUAAAAAAAUUAAAAACCAUUUCUAAAAGAUAUUCUCAGAAAUUAUUUUUAAAAACAUUACUAGAAAAAGCCAAGGAUUUUUUUCUUGCAUGAAUUACUUAACUUUUAGCUGAUCUGUAUUGUUAAUAAUUCUUAAACCAAUAUUAUUAAAACUUUCAAUCCAUUUCUAAUGAUUUAAAUUACACCCCGGAUUUUGGACUUGUAUAUGAAAUUAAAUUAUAUUAGAAAUUUACUAUAAUCUAACAAUAAAUAUUUUCAACAAAUGACUUAAUUUUCUGACUCCAAGUAGCACACAAAUUAUUAAAAAUAAGCAUUGUAAAUAAAUAUUGCACUUUGAUUAUGAGUGUUCCCUAUAUAUUUGAACCAGUCCAAUCCCAAUCUACUUUGUUGAAUCAUUCCCAUCCAUUAAAUAUGAGAUCUCGAGUUUCCAAGGACGAUCAUGACCGCAUUAAAGUCUGGUUGUUGAAAAAAUCAAUUGGUUGCUAGCAUUUUAAGAUACUGAUAAAGACAUGACUCAGAGGAAUUUUCAUGGAAGGCAUCAAAAUACACACAAAGCUACGGAAGUGUGUAACCCAUUUAUUAUUAGUCGAAGUUUCAGACUCAAUUUGUAGUUUCAGACAAUUGAUGCGUUCUUCUGCUUUGAAAAUUCAAGUUUAGUACUUUCCUUUCUAGAAAAUAAAGUAAUAAAUCAAAUUAAUGUUUUAAUGAUGAAAAAAAUUGAACUAAACCAAAUUUGAUUCCAUUUAGAUGGUCUAAUGCAAAUUAAUUGAGGUCUAAUGUUUAAUUUAUUUUUAAAAGUAAUUAAAAUCAAUUUGAAUUUAAACUUCAAAAUAUAUUUAAAAUAUCUAACUCAAAAGUAUAAAUAUAUUUAAAAAUUAAUUUGAUCAAUAAUAUGCUAAUAAUGAAAUACUAACUAGAGUUAUGCAAUAUAAAUAAUAUAUAUAUAUAAAGCUUAUAAAAUAUUGAACAAUUAUGAGAUAACAAGGAUGUCUUAAUGUCAAUUUGGUUUGGUUUGAUUGAAUGGAUCUUUUUAUUUUUGAUACAUAGCGCCAAAACGAAGCCAUGGAUGGAACUUUUCUUUUUUCAACGUAGGCGGCAGAAAGUCACCUCGUACGGUUUGAAAAGUAGAAGCAAUGGCAUCUUUGUAACAACCCUCUCCUGCCUUCUUCACCUAUCCAUUGGUGCCAUUUAUGAAAGGGUACCUCUGGAAUUCUACAGACUGCACGGCAUUGAAAUACAAAAAGCCUGUGUAAGUGGAUUGAAGAACUCAUCCAUCUUACAAAUUAUGAAUUGAAUGGUUGGAAAGGUGACGAUAAUGGAUCCUCCAAGAUUGCUUCUCUUCCUUUAUCCCUUCCUCAUACUUCACCUUCUUGGUGUAACAGUCCUUGCUCAGACAGACUUCCUUUACCACGACUGCUCAGACAGUGUUGGUAAUUACACCGAUAACAGCACCUACGAGGCAAACCUCAACACCCUCCUCUCCUCUCUCUCUUCAAACAACGAAAUAGAUUAUGGCUUUUACAAUUUCUCCUACGGCCAAAACUCCGACAAAGUUAACGCAAUCGCACUUUGCAGAGGAGACGUAGUAACAGACGCGUGCCGGAGUUGUGUCAAUGACUCUAGGAUUCAACUCACUCAGCUCUGUCCCAACCAGAAGGAGGCAAUAGGAUGGUACGAUAAAUGUAUGUUGCGAUACUCCAAUAACUCCAUAUUCGGAACAGCCCAAACUUCGCUCUCCUUUUACAUGUGGAACCCUGAAAACGCCUCCAAUGUGGAAGAUUUCAAUCAGGUUCUGGGAAACCUGAUGGCCAGCCUCCGAAGCAAAGCUGCGUCCGGAGAUUCGCGUCACAAGUUCGCAACUGGAGAAGCAAAUGUUACGAGUUUCGUAACCAUAUAUGGGCUUAUGCAGUGCACUCCUGAUUUGUCCGAGGCGUCUUGCCGUGAUUGCUUAGAGGGGGCUACCAAUGAAAUUCCAAAUUGUUGUGAUAGCAAAAAAGGAGGGAGAGUUAUUAAACCCAGCUGUAAUUUGAGAUUUGAAACAUACCGUUUCUACGAGUUUACUGCAGCUAACGCGCCCCCACCAGCAGCAACACCCCCACCUUCUCCUCCCUCAGCUGAUCUUGCUCCACCGCCUUUGGCUAAUACCACCUCUACACAAGGUACGUAUCCCUAUCUCCAUGCUUGAAAUUUAAUUGAUUCCAUGAUUGAGUAGAUCCUUGAUUGUAAAAGUUAGGUAUUAAUUAUUCUCUAUCUCCAAGUUCUAAAUCUUAUUGAGUUUAUGAUUCGCUAUUCACAUUAAGCAAAAUGAUUCUACAAAGCGUAGCAAAUUGUUGUAGUUGUCACUUGCCCAGUCCUCAACCCUCAUUCAAGUCUUCUGUGAUCGUCUCGUUCUCCACGGGGUAGAAGAGAAGUCAUAGUUUUGCUUCCUGAUAGUCAAUGGAUCCUUAUGUGAAAAAGAAAAGAAAAGUAAUAUGUUGUAUUAUUCUUUACUAUUUCCGCUGAGAGAAAAUUAAGAAUUCAAUGAUUAAUGAAGGGAUCUCUAAAUAUGUGGGUUCUUCAGGAAAGAAAAGCAACACCUCCCGGACAGUGGUCCUAAUUGUUGUUCCCUCAGCUGUUAUUUCUGUAAUGCUCAUCACCUUCAUCUGCUGCUUUUUAAAAAGGAGGCAAUCAAGGGAAAGCGUUAGCAGUAAGUUAAACAUGCAUUAUCUUUUGUUGACUUUGCUUCUUGCAAUUGAAAUCAUCAUCAUCUCGAAAAAUGACAAGAGACAACUGUUCUCCAAUAACAAUUUAAAAAUAAAAGCACUUCUCUUAUUUUCAGCAAGAAUGAUGGGAAGACUUAUAUAUUAGUUUUUAAAGUCCACCUUUGGAUUAAAUUAAAGCUUAUGUUUGCAAGGGAAAAAAGAAGUCAUAUAUUUAUUCGGUUUCCAAAGCAAAAAAAGAAAUGCUGAAAAUCUUCUCAAAUUCUUCAAAAACAGUAGACUUCCUUUCCCACUUUCGAAUGAGAUUCACAAAGUCAUUUCAACCAUUCGUUCCAUCUUUCAUGAUUUUUUUAUUUUUUAUUUUUUUUAUGUAUAAUUUUAAAUUUUUAAUAAUAAAAUUACAUCUAAGAACUUAAUUUUAAAACAUGAAUUUUUUAAUUUACUUUUUCCCCUCUUACAAAAUAUAUAUAUAUCUUAAAUAUAUUCAUAAAAUCAUUCUAUCUUGAUUGUUGCAUGAUACAUUACAUAAAAUAACUCCAAAAAAUUUAAAAAAAAUACGAAAUCAUAAUUGUAAAGUAUACCACCACUAAUGUGGGCAAAUGGGAUAAAAAGAUUUUAAAUUAAAAAUAAGUUAAUUAUUUUAACUUAAUUCUUAAAGUUAAAAAUAAGUUUAAAGUUGUUAUAAUUAUUUUAUCAAACAUAUUUAAUCUAUUCAAUAAUUUAAAUUAAAUUAUUAAGUUAUUUUAAGUCAUUAAAUUAGUUUACUAAACACCCUUUAAGAAUGAGAUUUUCUAAUGAGGAAUAAUUAAGUUCUAGCUAUUAAAUGCAAGAUUUUGAGUUGAGUAGAAAUGAAAAUGCAGCCAAACACUCCGAUAAAAGUUCCAUUGUACUAGAGAUGCACUUACUUCAUUACACUUGUCUUGUGAAGCUGAGGAUGAAAUUUUGAGCGUGGAAUCCUUGCAAUUCAACCUUGGUCCUAUUAGGAAUGCAACAAAUAACUUUUCUGAUUCUAAUAAGCUUGGACAAGGAGGAUUUGGAGCUGUUUACAAGGUAAUUAAACAUACCAUUAUAUGAAAAAAUAAUAACAAUCUUAACUCAAGCAAUUAAAUUUCUUUAAGAGUUUAUUUUAAGUGUCUUAAAUAUAAUAGUUUGUUAUGAUAUAUUUCAGGGUACACUUUCCAAUGGACANNNNNNNNNNNNNNNNNNNNNNNNNNNNNNNNNNNNNNNNNNNNNNNNNNNNNNNNNNNNNNNNNNNNNNNNNNNNNNNNNNNNNNNNNNNNNNNNNNNNNNNNNNNNNNNNNNNNNNNNNNNNNNNNNNNNNNNNNNNNNNNNNNNNNNNNNNNNNNNNNNNNNNNNNNNNNNNNNNNNNNNNNNNNNNNNNNNNNNNNNNNNNNNNNNNNNNNNNNNNNNNNNNNNNNNNNNNNNNNNNNNNNNNNNNNNNNNNNNNNNNNNNNNNNNNNNNNNNNNNNNNNNNNNNNNNNNNNNNNNNNNNNNNNNNNNNNNNNNNNNNNNNNNNNNNNNNNNNNNNNNNNNNNNNNNNNNNNNNNNNNNNNNNNNNNNNNNNNNNNNNNNNNNNNNNNNNNNNNNNNNNNNNNNNNNNNNNNNNNNNNNNNNNNNNNNNNNNNNNNNNNNNNNNNNNNNNNNNNNNNNNNNNNNNNNNNNNNNNNNNNNNNNNNNNNNNNNNNNNNNNNNNNNNNNNNNNNNNNNNNNNNNNNNNNNNNNNNNNNNNNNNNNNNNNNNNNNNNNNNNNNNNNNNNNNNNNNNNNNNNNNNNNNNNNNNNNNNNNNNNNNNNNNNNNNNNNNNNNNNNNNNNNNNNNNNNNNNNNNNNNNNNNNNNNNNNNNNNNNNNNNNNNNNNNNNNNNNNNNNNNNNNNNNNNNNNNNNNNNNNNNNNNNNNNNNUUUGUUUUCUUUGUUCCAGAUCAAUUUCUAUGACCCCAUUUAUUUUGCAUAUCAAAUCGAUCUUGAUUUUUGCUUUCUUGAAUACUCAUGUGUGAUAUCCCAAACGUCAUCAUUGUUCAAGGAUUAAGAUAAGAAGUUUUGCUUGGGAAUGCUCCAAAGUUUUUAUUGAUCUAGAUAUGUAGUGAUUUGAAUUUAAAAACUGCCCACUGAUGAUGCAAAGUUGUUAAUGCCAGCAAGAGUGCACGUUGACUGGUCGAUUUCCUGGCGUGCCUUCAACCACAUCUGUCCCAAUUAACUCAUUUACAAACAGCAUACUUGACCGACAUUACCGCAGAUAUCUAUUCUUCCAAGUUAUGGUAGUUUAUUCUUAUCCUCCUGUGGAAAAUUGAUAAGCCAAAGUUUUGGCUGGUGUGCGGCCACUCCUGCCCCUAUCAGCUUGUUCAAAACGCGUCUUUGAUCACUCCACUCGAAACCAAACCUUGUCUGAUUUCAUCAAUUUUAUUAAUUAAAUCUUAGCACUUUGAUUGAUUAAAUAUGAGAGGUAGCCACUGGGGGUAGGAAUCAAGGAAAGUAGGAGGACAAUUUUGAAGAAAAAAAUUAAAUAAAAAUUGUGAAUCUAUUGUAUAGGUGUGGGGGGUGGGGGGAUGUGUGGGGGAUGAGAGUAGGACUUUGGUGGGUGAAAUCUAGAAAUUCGAGUGAUGAUUUUCUUAAAAACUUCUAUGGAAAGAGGUGAAAAGGAUAUUCAAUCGAUUUGAUAAAGCCAAAGUCUUUUGAUUCCUGAAACUCCAUGGAUCCGACCUGGUGUUAAUGGUGCAUGUAUGUGAAUGAGAAUGUCAGCUUUUGGUUCAGCAAAGACGUGUCAAACUUGUCCACAUGAUUUUCUAUUUCACAAAACCAGUCACUGGGUACAGUCGAAUGAUGCAGCUCAUUCCAACCCUACAUCAAAGAAAAGAGAUGUUCCCUUGGUGCCAUCCACCAAAGGUACCACCAUAAAUCCCCACCUGAUCAUUGGGAUGCUUGCACCGACAAAGCUUGUGUUUCUUGACUUGGAAUUUAGCUAAAAGGCUACAAACACCGUCAUAACUGACCCAAAAAAGUCAACGAACACUACUAUAUAAAGGGCGAGCCAACCUGUUGUAAAAGAGACGAUGAGAAACACAAAGUUUAUCAGGAAAUAUCGAUUCCAAAUUUGGCGUGGUCCGUGGGAAUGUCUAAGCCUUGCUUAGCUUGAACAAGAAGCCAUCGUGAAAAAUUGAAAGUGAAGUUGAAUCUUUCUAGGGAAGUCUCCCUUUAUUUCUUUCCCUUAGAAAAAUUUUCUUUUCAAUUAUUUAUGUCUUGCACGAUAUUCAAGAAAGAACAAGCUUUGAAGCUUCAGAAAUAUGGGAUUCAAGAAAAUCAAAUACAAAUUGAAAUAGCAUAUUGUAGACCCUCCAUUUUGUCCCUUUAGUACAUGUCUUUAAGUUUACUUCCAGUGUUCCAUAGUGUUUCUUUGAUGGCCCAUUACUACUCGUGUAACUUACCUUUUCUGAGCCACUUUGGAGACUUUGGUUGAGGGGUUUAUCUAGUUCCACAUUAUGACCUUGGUUGUCUUUCAAGUUUAGAUUAGGCUUCACUUAGGUGCACUUUAGGUUAGACUUAGUUAGGUCCACCUAGUCUCACCCUAGGCCUGUAUAGGUAUACCCGGCUCAUUAGGCACUACCUUAGGCCCAUUUGGGCACACUUGACCCAUUAGACAUUCUUAGCGUGACUUGUUUGGUUGCAUGUCUCAUUUAUCUCAUUUAUUUAUUUAUUUUUAUUUUUUAUUAUUAUUGUCAAUCACUUUUAUUUAUUUAGUUAUUUUAUUUUAUUUAUUUGUUCGUUAUCUUGUUAUUUAUUCAUUAAUCUAUUAUUAUUAUUUUAUCAUUCCCUGACUUAUUUAUUAUUUUAUUUAUUUAUCUUUUAUUCAUUUAUUUAAUUUAAUAAUUUGAAGUUUUUUUUAUAGGAAAAUCUACCAAUGGAGCAGUUUUUGAAGAAGGUAAGACUCUUUACGUGAGACGGAGAGUUAGAAGGGAGGAAGACUCCUUAGAGGGAAAGACUUCAAAUUGCUAUAAAAAGCUCUAGUAGAUGGGUGUAGAGGCUACAAGAAGAGAUAUAAGAAAAAAAAAAGUAUUUCAAGGAGAGAUUUUUUUUUUAGGACGCGAAGAAGAAAAUGAGAAGGGGUGACUUCUUGGAUGGUUUUCAGAGGAAGAGGAGGGAAGCAUGCAAAGCGGAGAAAGAGAGAUCUGAGACCACACACGAGUGGGGAUUUUCCUGCUGGAAGGAGGGCUUUGCCAAGUACUUUUGUUAUAGACUCCUUCAUCCCUAUUAUCUUCUUAUUAUAAAUUAAUCUUCACUAAAUUUUGAGUUUCCUUGAUGCUUGGGUUUAGAAGGACAGAGGUUGUACGUUUGUUGGCUUUGGUGCUAGAUUGCUUAUAUGGUUCUUGUUGUUAGCUUUCAUUUUCUUUGAAGUUCCUUAAUUUUGGUUUGAGAAUGAAAGGUUCUUUUUUUAUUAUUAUUUAUUGUGCUUUACAUGAGAAUCGUGGUUAUCUUUGUUUGCUUGAAUCUGCUUGUACUUCUCUCACCAUUCCAAGCCCAUUGAAUAAGCAUGAAAUGUGGCAUUACUGUGUUCUUGUUUUUACUUGUUCUUUUUUUCUCCUUUCUGUUUCAUUCCUUUCUUGUUUCUGCACCUUCCCCUGUUUUUCUUCUUCUGGCGAUCCAUUGAAAAUGCCAACCUAGCCUCCUUGCUUAAGGCGGUCAUCCCUAUGGUUAUCUACGGCUACAAAGAUCAAGUAGAAUAGGGAUGUGAAUUUUGAGCUUCAAACUCUCCCACUUGCCAAUCUGGGAACAUAUGUGGUAAUGGAGUUCUACUAGAGUCAAAUCUUCAGAAACAACAAUAGCAAGGCUUUCCUCAUGACGAGAAAAAACAUUGACGCACAUCAGGGGAUGAUUCAUGAUCCGAAAAAGUUGAUCACUGAUGAUUGGACUGCUCAAAAGACGUAGAGUUUUUUGAUAAAGAUGAGAAUGUUUUCUACUUAAAUGAGAAUGUUAAGAUAUGGACUCACACAUAUUUAACAAUGGUUCAUGACUAAGCUAUUCGCUUUUUUGUAUUUGUUUUGUAUCGGUUUUCUACAGUAUGGGCCACCUUAUGUGUAGAGCCCAGUGCCAUAAUGGGUCUUAGAUGAUAGGCCUAAGACUCGCGAGGCCCAAUAGUCCAAAGGGUAUGGUCCUUAAGGCAUAAAGGGUAUAAAUAUAAGGAAAAAUGUUUCUUCUUAUAUCACAUCUUUUUUAAUAGAAUUGAACUCAUUCUCUCCCACUCCCAUUGCCUGAGAGAAUACAGAGUAAGGUGGUGCCCUCUACAGCCUUAGAAGAUCCGUACCUCUUCAUCAAGCGCAUAAUGGACUCAGGUAUGUUCCAAAGUGGAAGAAGGCAUGUUUUAAAUGAAUUGAUAUAUAUAUAUAUAUAUAUAUAUAUAUAUAUACAUAUAUCCUGUAUCUGUGUUUGGGUGAUCAUGGAGAAUUUAAAAGAUUCAUACAAUUGGUAUCAAAGCAUUUUUGUGGUUCCCAUUUUCACCAAAACACUUUUUUUAAAAACACAAACAAAAGAUCCAAGGAAAACAACAGAAAAUCUGGGCCAAUAAAAUAAUUAAAAAAUGGGUAUUGAACCCGAUGUGAUCUGGAGUCAGACACGCUACGAGUGACAGGGGUGAUGCUAGCGAUGCCAAUGAGGGGUGCAGUUUCGACACCUGUUUGGUGGUCGGAAAAGGCGUUGUUUCAAGCAUUCAAGUUGGCGUCCUCCGUUUAGGGCGCCAUUACAGGCGUUUAAAAGACGUCAUUCAAGCGUUCAAAAGGACGCCGUUCAGGCGCCAUCUGACACCGUUGAGAAGCACACAACGUCGCUAAAACGACUACAUUUUUUGGGCACUGCAGGCACUAUUAGGAUGUUGUUCAAGGUGCCAUUCAAGCGUUCAAAAAAAAAAAAAAAAUACCAUUUUCAAGCGUCGUUCAAGACAACGUUCAGGCGUCAUUCCAGGUGCCAUUUAAGACGAUGUUCAGGCGUCGUUCCAAACAUCGUUUAGGCAUUCAUCCCAGAUGCGGUUCAGGUGCGGUUCAAGCGACGUUCAGGUGCCAUCUCACGUCGGUGAAAAACACCAUUUUCAGGCGUUGUUGCAGGCUCCUUGUGACGCCGCUCUCGGCGUCAUUGGCAAACGGAGAAGAUGACCUCUAUCUUGGGGUAGUUUGGCGGCGUCGCACCGCUACUGGCGAUGUUGGACGAUUGCACCAACGCCGUUUUGACGCCAUGGAUGACACGGCUGCAGGUGACCUCGGGUCGUUUGGGGUGCAGUGAAUAAAGAAUAAUAAAAAAUAAAAAAUUAGGCCAAAGCCCAAUAGUCCAUGACCAUUCCCUUUAAAAAAUAUUGGGCUAAAAACACCCUUGAACCUUACCACGAGGGGCGUUGCCCCCCGCACCCCCCCAACCUAUCGUUCGCCCACAAAAAAAAAAAAAAAAAAAAAAAAAAUACAAGCUUAAAUGGCAAAUGUCAUCACUCCGCUUAGCUCCAUAAUUUGCCCAUUUUUCUCCCAUCAAUUGGUAUCAAGGCUUGUAUAAAUAUACAUGGUUUUAUGCAUCAAUUAAUAUACUUAUAUACAUGGGUUUAUGCAUAAAUAAAUAAAUAAAUAAAUAAUUUUAAUUAAAUUAUUUCUUGUUAUAUUUGUGUUUAAUAUUUUAAAAUAAAUGAAUUAUGUAUAUUUGUUGCCAAAGUGACCUAUAUUAUAUAAUUUAUUUAUUUUAUAAUAUGUAAACAUGUUAUUAUUAUUAUAUAAAAUAAUCAGCCCAAAGGAAGAUUAUUUUAAUGUAAUAAUAAAUAAAGUAUUCAUAAAUAUCCGACAUAUUAAGUAUAUCUUGUAUGUUGUAUGUCAAUCCAAAGACAAGCAUAUUGCUUCGGUUUUAUUGUCAAUAUUUAUGAAUUAAUUUUGAAAAUGAUACCAAUUACAAGUUGAUAUUUUUGUCCAAAGACUUAAUAUUAAUGUUUGUGCUAGGUAUUUUGUAUGAUGUUUAUUUAUUCAUGUGUGUAUGAUGUUUAUGUGACUGAUUGUGAGCUUUAUUAUUAUGAAUUCAACAUCUUCUAUAUCUGCAAAUGUUAAUAACAUUCCUGUGCUUAAUGACACAACUCAAGAAAUGGAAGAAGCACGUUAUAAUUGUGCUUGGGUGCAUGGAUUUAGAUUAUGCAUUAAGAAAUAAUCACCCUCCAGACCUUACUAGUGCCAGCACUAUCGAGCAAAGGUCUACUAUGAAAAAAUGAGAGCGAUCCAAACGCAUGAGUCUAAUAUAAUGAAACACUCAAUUCCAGAAGCUAUAAGGGGUGCAAUACCUGAGGAAACCCAAGCUAAGACAUUCUUGGACCAUAUAGCAAACUGAUUCGCUGCAAACGAAAAAGGUUGAGACAAACACUAUUCUUAGUAAGUUUGUCUUCAUGCGGUACAAAGGAAAAGAGAAUAUAAGGGAAUACAUUAUGGAAAUGUCUAAUCUUGUGACUAGACACAAGACACUAAAGUUAGAAUUGUUGAAAGACAUACUCGUGCACUUGGUCUUGAUCUCUCUGCUUACACAAUUCAAUCCAUUCAAAAUCAGUUACAACACACAAAAGAAAAAAUGGACUUUGAAUGAGCUUACUGAUCAGUGUGUACAAGAGGAUGAGAGAUUGAAACAAGAAAAUAUAGAAAGUGCUCACUUGGCUUCCACAUCUUAGGGAUUUGGUACCGGCAAGAAAAGAAAGAGGGACAAUAAAGGAAAACAAACUGCAUUUUUUGGAACAUCAAAGCAAAAAGUGCAAAAGAAACAAGAUAAGGAGAUCACUUGUUUCUUUUGCAAGAAGGUUGGUCAUAUGAAGAAGACAUAUACCAAAUACGCUGCUUGGCAUGAAAAGAAAAGUACACUUCUCAACUUUGUUUGUUCAUAAAUUAAUUUAGCUAUAGUGCCUACUGACACUUGGUGGAUAGAUACGGGUGCAACUACUCACAUAAAUGUCACGAUGCAGGGUUGCCUAAGGAGCCGAAUGCCAACUGAUGGUGAAAGAUACAUCUAUGUGGGAAAUGGCAACAAGGCUGCAAUCAAGGCUAUUGGUCUUUUUAGAUUACAGUUAGACUCUGGAUGUACUUUGGAUUUGGAAGAGACUUUUGUAGUACCGUCGUUUAAACGAAAUUUAAUUUUUGUUUCAUGUCUGGACAAGUUUGGAUAUUAUUGUUCAUUUAGAAAUGGAAUUGUUAGUCUUUAUCUAAAUUCAAAUGUUAUUGGUACAGGUAGUCUAACAGACAAAUUAUACAAAUUGAAUAUAAAGGCCUCUAAUGGAAAUGAAACCUUGCAUUCAAGUACUUAUGGCAUUCAGCAAAAAUUAGCAAAUGAGAAUUCAUCAAUGUUAUGGCACAGGCGUUUGGGUCAUAUUUCAAAUCAACGUAUUCAAAGGCUUGUGUCAGAAGGAAUUCUUGAUCCACUUGAUUUCUUAGACUUUCAAGUCUGUAUACAGUGUAUUAAGGGUAAACAAACAAAUAUGAGGAAAAAUGAUGCCAACAGGUGCGGUGACGUAUUGGAAUUGAUACAUACGGACAUUUGUGGUCCAUUUCCUACUUCUUUUUGGAAUAGACAACAAUAUUUUAUCACUUUAAUUGACGAUUUCUCACGCUAUGACUAUCUUUAUUUGAUUCAUGAGAAGUCUCAGUCAUUGGAUAUGUUCAAGAAUUUUAAAGCUGAAGUUGAGAACCAACUAAGCAAGAAAAUAAAGGUCGUCAGAUCUGACCAUAGAGGUGAAUAUUAUGGUAGAUAUGACGGAUCCGGUGAACAACGUCCAGGGCCAUUCGCCAAAUAUUUGAUAGAGUGUGGUAUCAUUCCUUAAUACACCAUGUCGGGGACUCUAAGCCAAAAUGGUGUAGUAGAGAGGUGAAACCGUACUCUUAAGGAUAUGGUGAGAAGUAUGAUCAGUCAUUCCACCUUACCAGAAUCACUUUGGGGCGAAGCUAUCAAAACUGUGGUUUAUAUUUUGAACAAAGUCCCAAGCAAAGCAGUAGCCAAAACCCCAUAUGAGUUAUGGAUUGGCAAGAAACCUAGAAUUAAGCAUUUGCAUGUCUGGGGUUGUCCAGCUAAGGCUAGGCCUUACAAGCCAAAUGAAAAGAAAUUGGACUCCAGAAUAGUGAGUUGCUACUUUGUAGGGUAUUCUGAAAGGUCGAGAGGUUUCAAAUUUUAUAAUCCCUCAACUAGAUCCUUCUUUGAAACGAGCAAUGCUAAAUUUAUUGAGGAUGUUGAGUUAAGUGGGAGAGAACCAUUAAGAAAGGUGGUCUUUGAAGAGGAAUCUGUUAGUAUUCUAUUAUUACAACUGGACAUGGUCAUAUUAUGUUUGAUGAAACUAUCCAGAAUGUACAACCAAUAACAAAGAUUGUGGACACGCUUGAGAUUCCUCCUACUCAAGUUAUGAAACCUGUUCAAGUUCAUGAAGAGGUAACUCAACAACCUCAAGAACCUCAAGUACAAGUGCCAUUGAGGAGAUCCACUAGAGAAAGAAAAAGUACAAUUUCAGACUAUUAUGUUGUAUAUCUCCAGGAACAUGAGUUUGACAUGGGUCUGGAAGACGAUCCAAUUUCAGUUAGUCAAGUCAAACAAAGUUCUGACUCUGAAAAGUGGAUAGAAGCCAUGACGGAUAAGAUGAAAUCAAUGAAAGACAAUGGUGUUUGGGACCUAGUAGAGUUGCCUAAAGGUGUAAAACCGAUUGGUUGUAAAUGGAUUUUUAAGACCAAGCGGGAUUCAAAAGACACCAUUGUUAGGUAUAAGGCAUGCCUAGUCGCAAAAGGUUUCACUCAAAAGGAAGGCAUUGAUUAUAAGGAGACCUUUUCACUGGUUUCGUCAAAGGACUCCUUUAGAAUCAUCAUGGCACUUUUAGCUCAUUAUGAUUUAGAGCUGCAUCAAAUGGACAUUAAAACUGCAUUUCUUAAUGGUAACAUUGAUGAGACAAUAUACAUGGUGCAACCGGAGAACUUUGAGUCUAAUGAUUCAAAGCAACUUGUAUGCAGAUUAAAAAAGUCCAUAUAUGGUUUAAAGCAGGCAUCCCGACAAUGGUACCGAAAGUUUGAUCAAGUGAUUAAUUCAUUUGGUUUUAAAGAGAACACCGUUGAUCAAUGCAAAUAUCUCAAGUUCAGUGGGAGAAAAUUCAUUAUCUUGGUGCUAUAUGUUGAUAAUAUUCUGCUUGCUAGUAGUGAUGUGGAACUUUUGAAUGAAACCAAGCGAUUUUUAUCUAGUAAAUUUAACAUGAAGGAUCUUAGUAAUACAUCUUUUGUGUUGGGUAUAUAGAUCUAUAGGGAUCAUUCAAAAGGUAUACUUGGGCUAUCACAAAAGGCCUACAUUGAUAAGGUGUUGAAUAGAUUUGGCAUGAGCAAUUGUGCACCAGGAGACACACCUGUGGCAAAUGACAAUAAAUUUAGUUUGCACCAAUGUCCGAAAAAUGAACUUGAGAAGAAGGAUAUGGAAAGGUUUCCCUAUGCCUCGGCAGUAGGAAGUCUCAUGUAUGCACAAGUUUGUACGCGUCCGGAUAUUGCGUACAUUGUUGGAAUGUUAGGUAGAUAUUUGAGUAACCCAGGUAUGGAUCACUAGAAAAAGGCAAAACAGGUUAUGCGGUAUUUACAGAGAACUAAAGAUUAUAUGCUUACAUAUCAUAGAUCUAGUCAUUUGGAGAUUGUGGGAUAUUCGGACUCCGAUUUUGUGGGAUGUCUUGACAGUAGGAGAUCCACUUCAGGUUACAUCUUCAUGUUGGCUGGAGGAGCAGUUUCAUGGAAAAGUGUUAAACAAACACUUAUUGCUUCUUCCACCAUGGAGGUAGAAUUCAUAGCCUUCUACGAGACAUCAAACCAUGGGAUAUGGUUGCAGAAUUUCAUCACUCAAUUAAUGGGAUUGAGAAACCAUUGAGAAUCAAUUGUGAUAAUAAGGCCGUAGAAUUGUAUUCUAAGAACAACUGAAGUUCUUCAAAGUCCAAACACAUUGACAUUAAGUUCUUGGUUGUGAAAGAAAGAGUUUAGAGUCUUCAAGUAUCAAUUGAACACAUAAGCACAAACUCCAUGGUUGCAGAUCCGCUCACUAAAGGUUUACCACCCAAAGUAUAUCAUGAACAUGUCACACAUAUGGGUGUUGUACACAUUGAUGAUGUGCUAGUAUAGUGGGAGUUUGUAUUUGUUUUCUUGAUGUGAUAUUAUGUUUAUGUUAUUUGUACAGACCUUGAUUUUAAAGACUACUGUAUUUGAAUACUCUAAAUUGAAAUGAUGACUUUCAAAAGCAGUUUAACAUCAAGUGUUGAAAGUGGAAUUUGACUAUUUUUUAGUCAUAAAGUAGGACCAAUUGGAAAUAGACAUAUUAAAGAUCACAUUCUAUGUAAUUUCCAUGCUACACAUCCAUACUUGAUCUAUGUUGCUAAUUUUGUUAAUGUUGUGAUCAUUGAUGGGUAUAGUUAUAAUUAUGAUUAACAAAGGCCGCUUUGAUCCUGUGUUAGCAUAAUUAGUAGACCGGAUUGUUUAAGAAUAUUUAGAUAGAAUAGCAAGAUGAGCUCAAUAAAGUACUAUCAUGAACAUUGUUUUGUAAUAUAUGUGGUCCAAGUGGGAGAUUGUUAAGAUAUGGACUCACAUAUAUUUAACAAUGGUUCAUGACUAAACUAUUCGCCUUUUCGUAUUUGUUUUGUAUUGGUUUUCUACAGUAUGGGCCACCUUAUGUGUAGAGCCCAAUGCUAUAACAAGUUUUAGAUGAUGGACCUAAAACUCGCGAGGCCCAAUAGUCUAAAGGGUAUGGUCCCUAAGGCAUAGAGGAUAUAAAUAUAAGGAAAAGUGUAUGUUCUUAUAUCACAUCUUUUUUAAUAGAAUUGAACCCAUUCUCUCCCGUUCCCAUUGCCUGAGAGAAUACAGAGUAAGGUGGUACCCUCUAUAGCCUUAGAAGAUCCGUACCUUUUCAUCAAGUGCAUAAUGGACUCGGGUAUGUUCCAAAGUGGAAAAGGACAUGUUUUAAAUGAAUUGAUAUAUAUAUAUAUAUAUAUCUUGUAUCUGUGUUUUGGUGAUCAUGGAGAAUUUAAAAGAUUCAAAUAGGGAAGUCAUCGACUUUUGCUUAAUGGAAUUGGAUAAAGGAGAAGAAACUUCAAGGAACUAGGGAGCAAUGUGUAUGGAAACUUUACGGCUUUUGCAAAGUUGCAGUUCCUAUAGAAUCAAAUGAGGCUUCAGGUUCAUUUUUCGAUUACGAAAAUGUGACACGAUAUAAUUAUAGUGCUAAGAAGGCAUGGCGUGUCAAUACAGAAUAGCAUUGUUUGAAACAAGGUCUGUCAGUGAUGAUAGUAAACCCGAGAAUAGCCUCACUUGUAUGCAAUUUCUGCAUACGUGAUUAUCUUUCGGCGUACCCCCACAUGUGCAUGCGUCACAAUAAGGCUAAAGAGAGACUGUUUCCAUGGAGGUGACGAAUUAAAUGACAUUCCCUCUAAUCAGCAGACCGCAUCCUUGUGACAAUGAAGGAUCUCUACAAUCUCAUGAUUGGAAGAUUCAGGAAGAAGCUUCAAAGGCAAUGAUGGUUCUGACUACGUAGCUCUAAAGGCGUCGGAUAUAAAAGCUGCAAAAAUGGGUUGGGUUCAUUUGAAAUGAGCCAUUUUAGUGGCAACAUGCUUUCUAGUUAAGGGUCAAGUUAUUCCGUACAGUUCGGAUCUAUUGAUAGAUGGGUGCAUGUAAGGGUCUCCAACAGGCUGGGCCGGGCCUUGGUAUAUCUAAGGCCCGUGGCCCAGCCCGUGGGCCCUCAAGCUGGGCUGGGCUGGCGGGCCGGGUUGCGGGCUGAGGUAAAAAUUUAAAUAAUUUUCAGUUUUGAAGGGAAGGGGAUUCAAACCCCUUCCCUUAUGGAACCACAAGGGAGCUAGCUACCAACUGAGCUGACCCUUUUUUGUGUAACUAUUUUGCAUUAGUUAUAUAUAUAUUAGAAAUGUUGUAUGAUUUUUGAAAAAAAAUAAAAGUGAGUUGGCGAGCCUACGGGCGGGCUAGCCCGCAGGCCGCGGGCUUUUUGGAGACCCUUAGGUGCAUGUGGCCCAAAUUCAUUACUGUUGGUGUAAUUAAAACCAUCUCGAUCUACCCAAGGGAUUUUGCACUCCGGGCCCUCUCUUUUGCAUGGCCACCAUCUGCCCCUCCUUUUAAUCCCGAGCCUCGGACAGAUAAACUUGUCAAGUGAGCUGCCAAUAUUAACCUAGAAAGAUGCAUAUGUUGAUAAAGUGGCUCAUUCCUUCAAAUACCUCAAACCAGAAAAUGAGUUCAUGUACUUCUGAUGGCGGUAGUUCAUUUCCACUAAAUUAACGAUCCUUGAAGACGCAUCCAACACAGCUCUGCCCAUGGUGAGGUUGAUCAGUUUGGUGCCAAUGAAAACUGCAACAUGGGUUCUGGCACAUUUAGGAAUGUGACAUGGAAAUCUGAUCUGUCACAGGUUUCUGGAAAUUAUGGAACUCAGAUUAGUGGUCGUCAUGGUGGGCAAGUUGGCUACGAUGGUUGAUAGGGUACUCGGUUUCCUUGGAUUCAGAGUGGCAAGAUAGAAAAGAACAUAGUGAUUGGCAAUGGCAUGGAUAAAGAAAGCUAUGAGAGGGUCGACAGGAUACUCCAACGAUUUUUCGGGCCUUCCAAAGACGAUAAGGGCUUACAGGCCCACCACAGGGCAAACUUAAAGGCCUGUAUACUAAGUUCGAGAAACAAGGCCUAAACUUGGGAGGCCCAGUUUGGUUCUCUUCAGACAUCUUAAAGCACCAGCCUAGAGAGACAAGGCUCCCUUUACCCCCAACUAAAUUUGCAGAAGGCCCAAUAGGUCUAUUCUCUAAGCGGUUGACCGGGCCAUUAAAACCCUCUCCAGUUACUUGGAGAAAGGAGACUUUAUCAUUGAUGGUAGCAACGAGCGGCAUGAGAACACUGAGAGGAGAGAGAAAGCCAUGGUUGAACUGGGUCUGCUCUAUCUUGGCAUGGGAGUUUCAGGUGGUGAAGAGGGUGAUCGUCAUGGGCCAUCUUUGAUGCUUGGAGGUUCAUUUGAGGCUUACAAGUAUGUAGAAGAUACCCUUCUUAAAGUAGCUGCUCAAGUUCCUAAUAGUGGCCCCUGUGUGACUUACAUUGGCAAAGGAGGUUCUGGAAAUUUCGUUAAGAUGGUUUACCGUCUCUCUGAUCAGACUUCUCUUAUCGGCUCUGAUGACCGUCUUUCCGGCCGUCGUCGCCGCACUUCUAGAGUUUUCCACCUUGGUCGCUGGCGGCUGUCACUUCGUCUGAGAUAAUGGCCUCCUUCUACCCUCCGAAACUUCUAGGUUCUUCUGUCCCAGUGGUGAUGUUGACGAUGAUACCCACGAAUCUGCCGUGACCAGAUGGGUUGUUCUGAUAGCUGGGUCUAACGACUACUGGAAUUCCAGGUACCAGGCUGAUAUUUACCAUGCUUGUCAACUCUUGAAGGAAGGUGGAUUGAAAGAUGAAAACAUCAUUAUUUUCAUGUAUGAUGACAUCUCAUUCAAUGAAGAGAACCCUAGGCCUGGAAUUAUCAUAAACAGCCCACAUGGCGAAGAUGUUUAUGAAGGUGUACCAAAGGACUAUACUGGAGAAGAUGUUUUUGUUGAUAACUUUUUUGCUGUUAUCCUUGGCAACAAAACGGCUCUUUCAGGGAGUAGUGGGAAGAGUUCAUUCAUCAAUAAGAUCACUAGGGUUGAUGUGGAUCUUCAGCCCUAUGCAUUUACUACGAAGUCACUCUUUGUAGGUCACACAGACUAUAAAUACCUAAGAUACUAAGUGAUAGACACACUAGGGAUAUUGGGUCGGCCAUUUGAAGAUCGUAACAUUAUUGAGAUGUGUAGUAUCACAGCUUUGGCACACCUACGAGCUGCUGUCUUGUUUUUCUUGGACAUCUCAGGUUCAUGUGGGUACAGCAUUGCUGCACAGGCAGCUCUUUUUUUUCACAGCAUCAAGUCUAUGUUUAUGAACAAACCACUCAUCAUUAUCUGCAACAAGACUGACUUGCAGCCAUUGGAGGGUAUAUCAAAAGAAGACAUGAAGUUGGUCAUGCAGAUGAAAGUUGAAGCUAUGAAGACUGUCAUAGGUCAAGGAGGUGAUCCUUUGAAUGACGAAGGGGUGCUGUUGACCAUGAGUACUUUGAUUGAGGAGUGGGUGGUUUCAGUGAAAAACGCAGCUUGUGAGAGGUUAUUGGAUUAGAGGGUGGAACUGAAGAUGAAGUCUAAGAAGAUGAAUGACUGCUUGAAUCAGUUUCAUGUUGCAGUGCCAAAACCUUGAGACCAAAAGGAGUGGCCACCCUGUAUACCUCAGGCAGUUUUGGAAGGUAUGGCAAAGCAACCAGCAGCCGAAAAGGAAAAUAGGAAGCUUGAAAGGGAUUUGGAGGAAGAUAAUGGUGGUGCCAGUGUGUACUCUGCUAGUUGCCCUUAAUAAUGAUACAGAUGGCUUCAAUCCGCUUAUUCAACCACGACAAGUAAUCUUUGGGAUCAGUUCAUGCAAUUAAUGGUAAAUAUGCAGAGGAGCAGUAGGGUUGAAUAAUUCAACACCAAGUCAAGGAAUUCCUAGCAAGCCCCAUCCUCAAUUCAGGUAGUAAGUCAAGGAGACAUCCGCUUGUAGUCACAUUAUCAGUUCCCUUCUCGACUCGGGUCUGCAAUACUCAAGUAACGAGGACCUAGCAAUAGCUGCAAUCACCAGCAGUAGUCUCAAACUCACUCCCAGGUUCUAUCCCAGCAUGGCCACCUUGGUGCAUACCUCUUGCUCUUCCUAUUCCUCUAUUUGUUUCUUUGAUUGAGAAUUUACAAUUUUGAAUUGAAUUUUCAAAUCCAUCUUCAACUGAAAAAUUCCAGUUUUAAAAAUCCAUCUUUGCAUUUCUUCUAGGCAAUAAAUGCAUUCCAGUUUUAAACCUUCUCCUGAUUUACACUUCUCUAAUUAAGCUAAUCAAGUUAAUCAUUCUUCUCACAUUUUCGGACAACCUUAUCCUAUUUCUCUGUUUCUAACUGAGUUGACCACAACCCUUUAGCUCGUUAUUUCUAUUUUUUGAGUCUUUGAAAUACAUAAAUCCUGUGUAAGAAUUAAUUAAGUAGAUUGAAGAGCUCAUUGAUCCAUCUUACAAAUUAUGAACUCAAGGGUCGGAAAGAUGACGAUAAUGGAUCCUUCAAGAUUGCUUAUCUUCCUUUAUCAUUUCCUCACACUUCACCUUCUUGGUGUACCAGUCCUUGCUCAGCCAGACUUCCUUUACCACUUCUGCAUAGAGGGUGCUAGCAAUUACACAAGUAAUAGCACCUACAAGGCAAACCUCAACACCCUCAUCUCUUCUCUCCUAUCAGACAACGCAAUCGACUACGGCUUUUAUAAUUUCUCCGUCGGCCAAAACUCUGAAAGAGUCAACGCAAUUGGGCUUUGCAGAGGAGACGUUACACCAGAUGUGUGCCGGAGUUGUAUGUCUCAAUGACUCCAGGCUUCAACUCACUGAGCUUUGUCCCAAU
rnacentral:lncRNA from 1 species